rnacentral:lncRNA from 1 species
AUCAAACCUUGUGGAAACACAAAAACAUCUCCCUUAUUUAGAACUUUUGCGAUGAGUGUGUUAUUCAGUUGGUCUGAUGUCACAAAACCGACAUAAAGAGUUCCUUCCAGGACUAAGAAGAUUUCGCUGGCACGGGGGUGAAUGUGAGGUGGCCUUUGGCCAUAUGGUGCAUAGUCAAUACGGAAUGCUGAUAUGCCAAGGGUGUUGAGUCCUGGAAUUUGCUCAACAUUUGCAUCUGUUUCAUCAACACCAAGUCGAUUUGCUGUGUUUCCAGGCUUGCCUAGCCCUGAGAAGAAGAAAUCUUCUGCUCUCGCAAGCUUGGGGUCCUUGCAGAACUUCCCAUUCACAAACACUACAAGAACACACACACAUACACACACAAAGGGGGAAAAAAAGAAUAAUUAAGUAGCAGCACAAAUUUUAUUGAAAUUUAUAUGUUUCGUUAGUUCAGCUUACGUACCACCAUCCUUCGGGUCCUCGAUGGCUACACAGAUAUCUUGAAGAGGGCUAGGGUCAGAGGCAGAGGCCAAAGAAGAAGCCAAAGCCAAGAGAGCAAAACCUAUAAGAAAUUGAAUUGCCUUCAUGGUGAUUAAUUAACAGGAACCAGCUUAAAGAAAUGGAGUCCAGCAUCCAAGAUCUUGAAGAAGGCCUUGAGUCCUUGUCUAGGCGUUUGAUCAAGGCUAGAGUCCCCCUUCUCAACAUCCUCACCAAUUAGAUUACAAGAUUGUGGUGAUGUCAUACUUGUAAAUGAAUGAAAUAUACUUGUAUCAUUCUAUAGAAAGAAAAUUAUAUAUACACAAAUAGGUUUUUUCUAUGACAUAUUUAGCCUUUCUUGUAUUUCAUAGUCUUUGCUUUUAUUGCAUAAAUGUUGCUAAUUAUAUGAUAUAUUAUACAGUAAUCUAUCACGAGACAGUAAGAAUCUCCACGACUAUCAUUUCUAUUUUAAAUUGCAUGUAAUUAAUUUGCCUUGAAUAAAUUAUGGAUUCUCUUAGAUGCAUCUGUUUAAUUUUGAACCAAUAAUACUUUAAUGGCAAAUUUCUUCCUGAAGCAUUAAUUUAAAGCUUAGUUUAGCUUGUUCAUCCAAUCUAUUUGUUUGAUUAUUUUUACUCCAUACAAGGAGAAUUGAAAAUCUAGUACCAUCUACCAGCAUUUAAGCUGUAAAAUCAAUUGAUAUUUGAUAUUGAUGAAAUGUUCUUAUCAUAGAAAUAUUCUAUUUGUGUAUUUAAUUUUCUUUAUAUAGAUUGAUACAAUAGGAUUUCGCAUGCAUCAUUUCUGCUGUACGGCCAAGGCGGAUGUUAAAAUUUUGUAAAAUCUAAAUUUAGUAAAAAUCAGUUGACCACCUCUAUUUGAGAUUUAUGUUUUUUAUUAAAUUUAGGGAUAUUUUUAUGAUUAUAAUUUUUAAUUUUAAAAAUUUUUAUAAGAUAAAAUAAUCUUUUAAUUUAUUUGGGGGUAAAAUUAUCAUUUUAUUAAAAUUAUUUAAUAGUGUUAAUGCAAAAGUGACUAAUUGAUACAAAUGUAAAAAAAAAAAUGGUGCAAAAUACAUGUUAAAAUUUUGUGGUGGCUGAAUGAACAUAAGGCAAAAUAAAGGUGGUGCAAUGAUAAUUUCCCUAUAACUAAUAUUAACAUAUUUGUUUAUUCUUAAUCCCAAAAGAAUAAUAUAACAAAAUUAUACAAUCCCAAAAGGGUGAGAUGAUCCGGAUGUCCUAACAAAAAAAUCAUCUAUAUCUUCUAAUAUCAUCACGUGGCCAAAACUCAAAAUAUAUUUACAGCCGCUGGGUCGGUUUGGUGUACCUGCAACCUCCUGUUGGGGGGAGGAAAAUAUAAUAAAAACCGAAUGAGUAUAAAACUCAGUGAGCUUAGUGAGUAUAUAGUAAUUUUUGAAAACAAAUUUUUACUUUAAAAGAAAUAAUCAUAUCAUUUCCAAACACAAUUUCAUCAAACCAUAUGCGAGAAACCAGUAAUAAAUCAUUUAACAUUUAAAUCAGAUUACCAACCUUGAAAAGCAUAUAUAAUAUCGUAGCUAAUAACCAUGGAAAUCAUAUCACAAUAUCAUAUAGAAUACACAAAUAUGAAAAUCAUCACUAAACAAGUACCAAGAGGAAUAAUCUCAUCGUAUCCGGACCUCAACGGAUGGACAAUGACGUACUAUUUAGAUAUUGUCACACCCCGGAACUACACGGAUAGACAAGAAAAUAUCAUCUCAUAUCUCAUGAUAUAUGUGCAUGUAUAAUCUAGUCCCCAAAGGACAAAAGCGCCCAAGCACAUGGCCCAAAGCCUCUAUGUGUACUCAGACGAGCCCUCAAUGCAUGUAUCUCAUAUGUAUCAUCUGUAUAUGUAUCACUGUUAUCAUCAUAUCACAUGCAUAUGCCCCCAAAAGGCAGAAGUGCCUAAACACACGGCCCAAAGCCUCUAUGUGUGUUCAGACGGGCCCCAAAGACCUCUCAUCUCUAUACUUAUAAAAGAGAAGGGUAUUGUCGAAUGAUUUUAAAAACAAUCUCUAUACUCAUAUUCAUAUAAAUUAUAAUCAUACUUUAAAUCAUACAUUUCUUUUUAUUAUCACAUCUAAAUCCACUUUUCUCAUCUUUAAAAUACCAUAAUAUUUUAUUCAAAGUCGAUACGAAAAACUAUUAACGAAACAUUUUAAUAUAAUAUCAAUGCGUGAAUAAAAUCCAUUUCAAGAAAAUCAUUAAAUCAGAACAUUUAAAAUACUUAUUUCGCAAACAUACUUUACUAUCAUAAUUAAUUAUGAAAAUAAAUUUUGUAUAUUCCACUCACAGUGACGAUGUUUACGCUCGGUUAUCGUCCACGUCCGCGGACUGACUCUCACUUGCGGAUCCUCCUAAAUCAAGAAAACGACAUAAUUAUUUUCUAUAAAUCAGAAUUAGGACUAAAUUUAUGCAACAAACUCGAAACAAACAUCUAUCCAUAAUUUACAACUCCCGUAUCGAUAAAAUUACUAAAAUACCCUUAAAUAUGUAAAUCAUUAAGAUACUUCGAAAUUAUAAAUCACCGAAUUACCCUCGGAAUCAUAAUUACACCCAAUCUUCAAUUUCAGGAAUUACUAAAAUAUCCACAGGCUCAUAAAUUACAAAACCGCUAUCAAAAUGUGAAAUUACCGAAUUGCCCUUACCGGUCAACGGUGGCCGGAAUUCAAGCAACGGUGACCGGGAAGCUCAGGUCAGACGCUUCUCGCUGAGCUGAGUUCAAUGAUACCGGCAGUGUGCUCCCACGCGUGGCGACGGCACCAGAAUCUAGCUCGACAGUCGUGUUACUACAACGGCUGAACCACGACAAAUCGACGGCUCUUGGUGGGUGUGGAUGGUCAGAAAAUUAAAGGGGAGUCGUGGGGAACAAAAUCCAGCCGGUGCUGUCACCCAAAACCGGUGAAAAUCUCAACAGAGCAAGGUGGAAAAGUAGCGGGUUUUUCAAGCUUUGGUCACCGACGUUCUAGCUGUUUUCCGGCGACGUGGACGAUUGGGGCAUGAUGGCCGGUUUGCAAGCUUCAGAUUGGUACCAAACUUGACCGGUUGGGUGGCCGGAAUCACAAGAUAUCGCCGGGUCGAAUUUCAGGUCAAACGGGUCGGGUUUCGGGUCGGUUUACAGCUUCUCUCACUCUCUCGUACGUGUGUAUCUGUUUCCCUGUGUCAAACUUCUUCUUUUACUUUUAUUUACUUUUUAACCGCCUCAUCUUUUUUUUUUUUUUUUUCCACGUGUGUUACAAUAAAACCCAAAACAGGUUAGACACGUUUCCACCAAUCUUCAAAACGAACAUAAAAUAUAAUAAGAAACAAUAUUUUAACGCGUUUCCAAAGCAUAAUUAAAAUAUAAUUUUUUCAUUGGAAAGAAACGAGUUGAAGAAUUUAUGAAAAUGGGUGAGAAACAAAUUCAAGUCUCUGGCCACAGGCUAACAGUUGAGAGUCAUGUUCUGUAAAUAUCGAUGUUACCGGACUUGAUUGGUUUGUUGUUGGACUUAAUGAAGAUGCAUUAUUAGCCAUUUUUUCUUUUUCAUAUCAAUUUUCAUAGCUGCUUUAAUCAUUUUUAGUUAUGAAUGCAUUACCAAUGAUGCACUUGUUUUUUUCAUUACGUGUUAAAAUAUUGUUUUCUGUAAAUAUCGAUGUUACCGGACUUGAUUGGUUUGUUGUUGGACUUAAUGAAGAUGCAUUAUUAGCCAUUUUUUCUUUUUCAUAUCAAUUUUCAUAGCUGCUUUAAUCAUUUUUAGUUAUGAAUGCAUUACCAAUGAUGCACUUGUUUUUUUCAUUACGUGUUAAAAUAUUGUUUUCUGUAAAUAUCGAUGUUACCGGACUUGAUUGGUUUGUUGUUGGACUUAAUGAAGAUGCAUUAUUAGCCAUUUUUUCUUUUUCAUAUCAAUUUUCAUAGCUGCUUUAAUCAUUUUUAGUUAUGAAUGCAUUACCAAUGAUGCACUUGUUUUUUUCAUUACGUGUUAAAAUAUUGUUUUCUGUAAAUAUCGAUGUUACCGGACUUGAUUGGUUUGUUGUUGGACUUAAUGAAGAUGCAUUAUUAGCCAUUUUUUCUUUUUCAUAUCAAUUUUCAUAGCUGCUUUAAUCAUUUUUAGUUAUGAAUGCAUUACCAAUGAUGCACUUGUUUUUUUCAUUACGUGUUAAAAUAUUGUUUUCUGUAAAUAUCGAUGUUACCGGACUUGAUUGGUUUGUUGUUGGACUUAAUGAAGAUGCAUUAUUAGCCAUUUUUUCUUUUUCAUAUCAAUUUUCAUAGCUGCUUUAAUCAUUUUUAGUUAUGAAUGCAUUACCAAUGAUGCACUUGUUUUUUUCAUUACGUGUUAAAAUAUUGUUUUCUGUAAAUAUCGAUGUUACCGGACUUGAUUGGUUUGUUGUUGGACUUAAUGAAGAUGCAUUAUUAGCCAUUUUUUCUUUUUCAUAUCAAUUUUCAUAGCUGCUUUAAUCAUUUUUAGUUAUGAAUGCAUUACCAAUGAUGCACUUGUUUUUUUCAUUACGUGUUAAAAUAUUGUUUUCUGUAAAUAUCGAUGUUACCGGACUUGAUUGGUUUGUUGUUGGACUUAAUGAAGAUGCAUUAUUAGCCAUUUUUUCUUUUUCAUAUCAAUUUUCAUAGCUGCUUUAAUCAUUUUUAGUUAUGAAUGCAUUACCAAUGAUGCACUUGUUUUUUUCAUUACGUGUUAAAAUAUUGUUUUCUGUAAAUAUCGAUGUUACCGGACUUGAUUGGUUUGUUGUUGGACUUAAUGAAGAUGCAUUAUUAGCCAUUUUUUCUUUUUCAUAUCAAUUUUCAUAGCUGCUUUAAUCAUUUUUAGUUAUGAAUGCAUUACCAAUGAUGCACUUGUUUUUUUCAUUACGUGUUAAAAUAUUGUUUUCUGUAAAUAUCGAUGUUACCGGACUUGAUUGGUUUGUUGUUGGACUUAAUGAAGAUGCAUUAUUAGCCAUUUUUUCUUUUUCAUAUCAAUUUUCAUAGCUGCUUUAAUCAUUUUUAGUUAUGAAUGCAUUACCAAUGAUGCACUUGUUUUUUUCAUUACGUGUUAAAAUAUUGUUUUCUGUAAAUAUCGAUGUUACCGGACUUGAUUGGUUUGUUGUUGGACUUAAUGAAGAUGCAUUAUUAGCCAUUUUUUCUUUUUCAUAUCAAUUUUCAUAGCUGCUUUAAUCAUUUUUAGUUAUGAAUGCAUUACCAAUGAUGCACUUGUUUUUUUCAUUACGUGUUAAAAUAUUGUUUUCUGUAAAUAUCGAUGUUACCGGACUUGAUUGGUUUGUUGUUGGACUUAAUGAAGAUGCAUUAUUAGCCAUUUUUUCUUUUUCAUAUCAAUUUUCAUAGCUGCUUUAAUCAUUUUUAGUUAUGAAUGCAUUACCAAUGAUGCACUUGUUUUUUUCAUUACGUGUUAAAAUAUUGUUUUCUGUAAAUAUCGAUGUUACCGGACUUGAUUGGUUUGUUGUUGGACUUAAUGAAGAUGCAUUAUUAGCCAUUUUUUCUUUUUCAUAUCAAUUUUCAUAGCUGCUUUAAUCAUUUUUAGUUAUGAAUGCAUUACCAAUGAUGCACUUGUUUUUUUCAUUACGUGUUAAAAUAUUGUUUUCUGUAAAUAUCGAUGUUACCGGACUUGAUUGGUUUGUUGUUGGACUUAAUGAAGAUGCAUUAUUAGCCAUUUUUUCUUUUUCAUAUCAAUUUUCAUAGCUGCUUUAAUCAUUUUUAGUUAUGAAUGCAUUACCAAUGAUGCACUUGUUUUUUUCAUUACGUGUUAAAAUAUUGUUUUCUGUAAAUAUCGAUGUUACCGGACUUGAUUGGUUUGUUGUUGGACUUAAUGAAGAUGCAUUAUUAGCCAUUUUUUCUUUUUCAUAUCAAUUUUCAUAGCUGCUUUAAUCAUUUUUAGUUAUGAAUGCAUUACCAAUGAUGCACUUGUUUUUUUCAUUACGUGUUAAAAUAUUGUUUUCUGUAAAUAUCGAUGUUACCGGACUUGAUUGGUUUGUUGUUGGACUUAAUGAAGAUGCAUUAUUAGCCAUUUUUUCUUUUUCAUAUCAAUUUUCAUAGCUGCUUUAAUCAUUUUUAGUUAUGAAUGCAUUACCAAUGAUGCACUUGUUUUUUUCAUUACGUGUUAAAAUAUUGUUUUCUGUAAAUAUCGAUGUUACCGGACUUGAUUGGUUUGUUGUUGGACUUAAUGAAGAUGCAUUAUUAGCCAUUUUUUCUUUUUCAUAUCAAUUUUCAUAGCUGCUUUAAUCAUUUUUAGUUAUGAAUGCAUUACCAAUGAUGCACUUGUUUUUUUCAUUACGUGUUAAAAUAUUGUUUUCUGUAAAUAUCGAUGUUACCGGACUUGAUUGGUUUGUUGUUGGACUUAAUGAAGAUGCAUUAUUAGCCAUUUUUUCUUUUUCAUAUCAAUUUUCAUAGCUGCUUUAAUCAUUUUUAGUUAUGAAUGCAUUACCAAUGAUGCACUUGUUUUUUUCAUUACGUGUUAAAAUAUUGUUUUCUGUAAAUAUCGAUGUUACCGGACUUGAUUGGUUUGUUGUUGGACUUAAUGAAGAUGCAUUAUUAGCCAUUUUUUCUUUUUCAUAUCAAUUUUCAUAGCUGCUUUAAUCAUUUUUAGUUAUGAAUGCAUUACCAAUGAUGCACUUGUUUUUUUCAUUACGUGUUAAAAUAUUGUUUUCUGUAAAUAUCGAUGUUACCGGACUUGAUUGGUUUGUUGUUGGACUUAAUGAAGAUGCAUUAUUAGCCAUUUUUUCUUUUUCAUAUCAAUUUUCAUAGCUGCUUUAAUCAUUUUUAGUUAUGAAUGCAUUACCAAUGAUGCACUUGUUUUUUUCAUUACGUGUUAAAAUAUUGUUUUCUGUAAAUAUCGAUGUUACCGGACUUGAUUGGUUUGUUGUUGGACUUAAUGAAGAUGCAUUAUUAGCCAUUUUUUCUUUUUCAUAUCAAUUUUCAUAGCUGCUUUAAUCAUUUUUAGUUAUGAAUGCAUUACCAAUGAUGCACUUGUUUUUUUCAUUACGUGUUAAAAUAUUGUUUUCUGUAAAUAUCGAUGUUACCGGACUUGAUUGGUUUGUUGUUGGACUUAAUGAAGAUGCAUUAUUAGCCAUUUUUUCUUUUUCAUAUCAAUUUUCAUAGCUGCUUUAAUCAUUUUUAGUUAUGAAUGCAUUACCAAUGAUGCACUUGUUUUUUUCAUUACGUGUUAAAAUAUUGUUUUCUGUAAAUAUCGAUGUUACCGGACUUGAUUGGUUUGUUGUUGGACUUAAUGAAGAUGCAUUAUUAGCCAUUUUUUCUUUUUCAUAUCAAUUUUCAUAGCUGCUUUAAUCAUUUUUAGUUAUGAAUGCAUUACCAAUGAUGCACUUGUUUUUUUCAUUACGUGUUAAAAUAUUGUUUUCUGUAAAUAUCGAUGUUACCGGACUUGAUUGGUUUGUUGUUGGACUUAAUGAAGAUGCAUUAUUAGCCAUUUUUUCUUUUUCAUAUCAAUUUUCAUAGCUGCUUUAAUCAUUUUUAGUUAUGAAUGCAUUACCAAUGAUGCACUUGUUUUUUUCAUUACGUGUUAAAAUAUUGUUUUCUGUAAAUAUCGAUGUUACCGGACUUGAUUGGUUUGUUGUUGGACUUAAUGAAGAUGCAUUAUUAGCCAUUUUUUCUUUUUCAUAUCAAUUUUCAUAGCUGCUUUAAUCAUUUUUAGUUAUGAAUGCAUUACCAAUGAUGCACUUGUUUUUUUCAUUACGUGUUAAAAUAUUGUUUUCUGUAAAUAUCGAUGUUACCGGACUUGAUUGGUUUGUUGUUGGACUUAAUGAAGAUGCAUUAUUAGCCAUUUUUUCUUUUUCAUAUCAAUUUUCAUAGCUGCUUUAAUCAUUUUUAGUUAUGAAUGCAUUACCAAUGAUGCACUUGUUUUUUUCAUUACGUGUUAAAAUAUUGUUUUCUGUAAAUAUCGAUGUUACCGGACUUGAUUGGUUUGUUGUUGGACUUAAUGAAGAUGCAUUAUUAGCCAUUUUUUCUUUUUCAUAUCAAUUUUCAUAGCUGCUUUAAUCAUUUUUAGUUAUGAAUGCAUUACCAAUGAUGCACUUGUUUUUUUCAUUACGUGUUAAAAUAUUGUUUUCUGUAAAUAUCGAUGUUACCGGACUUGAUUGGUUUGUUGUUGGACUUAAUGAAGAUGCAUUAUUAGCCAUUUUUUCUUUUUCAUAUCAAUUUUCAUAGCUGCUUUAAUCAUUUUUAGUUAUGAAUGCAUUACCAAUGAUGCACUUGUUUUUUUCAUUACGUGUUAAAAUAUUGUUUUCUGUAAAUAUCGAUGUUACCGGACUUGAUUGGUUUGUUGUUGGACUUAAUGAAGAUGCAUUAUUAGCCAUUUUUUCUUUUUCAUAUCAAUUUUCAUAGCUGCUUUAAUCAUUUUUAGUUAUGAAUGCAUUACCAAUGAUGCACUUGUUUUUUUCAUUACGUGUUAAAAUAUUGUUUUCUGUAAAUAUCGAUGUUACCGGACUUGAUUGGUUUGUUGUUGGACUUAAUGAAGAUGCAUUAUUAGCCAUUUUUUCUUUUUCAUAUCAAUUUUCAUAGCUGCUUUAAUCAUUUUUAGUUAUGAAUGCAUUACCAAUGAUGCACUUGUUUUUUUCAUUACGUGUUAAAAUAUUGUUUUCUGUAAAUAUCGAUGUUACCGGACUUGAUUGGUUUGUUGUUGGACUUAAUGAAGAUGCAUUAUUAGCCAUUUUUUCUUUUUCAUAUCAAUUUUCAUAGCUGCUUUAAUCAUUUUUAGUUAUGAAUGCAUUACCAAUGAUGCACUUGUUUUUUUCAUUACGUGUUAAAAUAUUGUUUUCUGUAAAUAUCGAUGUUACCGGACUUGAUUGGUUUGUUGUUGGACUUAAUGAAGAUGCAUUAUUAGCCAUUUUUUCUUUUUCAUAUCAAUUUUCAUAGCUGCUUUAAUCAUUUUUAGUUAUGAAUGCAUUACCAAUGAUGCACUUGUUUUUUUCAUUACGUGUUAAAAUAUUGUUUUCUGUAAAUAUCGAUGUUACCGGACUUGAUUGGUUUGUUGUUGGACUUAAUGAAGAUGCAUUAUUAGCCAUUUUUUCUUUUUCAUAUCAAUUUUCAUAGCUGCUUUAAUCAUUUUUAGUUAUGAAUGCAUUACCAAUGAUGCACUUGUUUUUUUCAUUACGUGUUAAAAUAUUGUUUUCUGUAAAUAUCGAUGUUACCGGACUUGAUUGGUUUGUUGUUGGACUUAAUGAAGAUGCAUUAUUAGCCAUUUUUUCUUUUUCAUAUCAAUUUUCAUAGCUGCUUUAAUCAUUUUUAGUUAUGAAUGCAUUACCAAUGAUGCACUUGUUUUUUUCAUUACGUGUUAAAAUAUUGUUUUCUGUAAAUAUCGAUGUUACCGGACUUGAUUGGUUUGUUGUUGGACUUAAUGAAGAUGCAUUAUUAGCCAUUUUUUCUUUUUCAUAUCAAUUUUCAUAGCUGCUUUAAUCAUUUUUAGUUAUGAAUGCAUUACCAAUGAUGCACUUGUUUUUUUCAUUACGUGUUAAAAUAUUGUUUUCUGUAAAUAUCGAUGUUACCGGACUUGAUUGGUUUGUUGUUGGACUUAAUGAAGAUGCAUUAUUAGCCAUUUUUUCUUUUUCAUAUCAAUUUUCAUAGCUGCUUUAAUCAUUUUUAGUUAUGAAUGCAUUACCAAUGAUGCACUUGUUUUUUUCAUUACGUGUUAAAAUAUUGUUUUCUGUAAAUAUCGAUGUUACCGGACUUGAUUGGUUUGUUGUUGGACUUAAUGAAGAUGCAUUAUUAGCCAUUUUUUCUUUUUCAUAUCAAUUUUCAUAGCUGCUUUAAUCAUUUUUAGUUAUGAAUGCAUUACCAAUGAUGCACUUGUUUUUUUCAUUACGUGUUAAAAUAUUGUUUUCUGUAAAUAUCGAUGUUACCGGACUUGAUUGGUUUGUUGUUGGACUUAAUGAAGAUGCAUUAUUAGCCAUUUUUUCUUUUUCAUAUCAAUUUUCAUAGCUGCUUUAAUCAUUUUUAGUUAUGAAUGCAUUACCAAUGAUGCACUUGUUUUUUUCAUUACGUGUUAAAAUAUUGUUUUCUGUAAAUAUCGAUGUUACCGGACUUGAUUGGUUUGUUGUUGGACUUAAUGAAGAUGCAUUAUUAGCCAUUUUUUCUUUUUCAUAUCAAUUUUCAUAGCUGCUUUAAUCAUUUUUAGUUAUGAAUGCAUUACCAAUGAUGCACUUGUUUUUUUCAUUACGUGUUAAAAUAUUGUUUUCUGUAAAUAUCGAUGUUACCGGACUUGAUUGGUUUGUUGUUGGACUUAAUGAAGAUGCAUUAUUAGCCAUUUUUUCUUUUUCAUAUCAAUUUUCAUAGCUGCUUUAAUCAUUUUUAGUUAUGAAUGCAUUACCAAUGAUGCACUUGUUUUUUUCAUUACGUGUUAAAAUAUUGUUUUCUGUAAAUAUCGAUGUUACCGGACUUGAUUGGUUUGUUGUUGGACUUAAUGAAGAUGCAUUAUUAGCCAUUUUUUCUUUUUCAUAUCAAUUUUCAUAGCUGCUUUAAUCAUUUUUAGUUAUGAAUGCAUUACCAAUGAUGCACUUGUUUUUUUCAUUACGUGUUAAAAUAUUGUUUUCUGUAAAUAUCGAUGUUACCGGACUUGAUUGGUUUGUUGUUGGACUUAAUGAAGAUGCAUUAUUAGCCAUUUUUUCUUUUUCAUAUCAAUUUUCAUAGCUGCUUUAAUCAUUUUUAGUUAUGAAUGCAUUACCAAUGAUGCACUUGUUUUUUUCAUUACGUGUUAAAAUAUUGUUUUCUGUAAAUAUCGAUGUUACCGGACUUGAUUGGUUUGUUGUUGGACUUAAUGAAGAUGCAUUAUUAGCCAUUUUUUCUUUUUCAUAUCAAUUUUCAUAGCUGCUUUAAUCAUUUUUAGUUAUGAAUGCAUUACCAAUGAUGCACUUGUUUUUUUCAUUACGUGUUAAAAUAUUGUUUUCUGUAAAUAUCGAUGUUACCGGACUUGAUUGGUUUGUUGUUGGACUUAAUGAAGAUGCAUUAUUAGCCAUUUUUUCUUUUUCAUAUCAAUUUUCAUAGCUGCUUUAAUCAUUUUUAGUUAUGAAUGCAUUACCAAUGAUGCACUUGUUUUUUUCAUUACGUGUUAAAAUAUUGUUUUCUGUAAAUAUCGAUGUUACCGGACUUGAUUGGUUUGUUGUUGGACUUAAUGAAGAUGCAUUAUUAGCCAUUUUUUCUUUUUCAUAUCAAUUUUCAUAGCUGCUUUAAUCAUUUUUAGUUAUGAAUGCAUUACCAAUGAUGCACUUGUUUUUUUCAUUACGUGUUAAAAUAUUGUUUUCUGUAAAUAUCGAUGUUACCGGACUUGAUUGGUUUGUUGUUGGACUUAAUGAAGAUGCAUUAUUAGCCAUUUUUUCUUUUUCAUAUCAAUUUUCAUAGCUGCUUUAAUCAUUUUUAGUUAUGAAUGCAUUACCAAUGAUGCACUUGUUUUUUUCAUUACGUGUUAAAAUAUUGUUUUCUGUAAAUAUCGAUGUUACCGGACUUGAUUGGUUUGUUGUUGGACUUAAUGAAGAUGCAUUAUUAGCCAUUUUUUCUUUUUCAUAUCAAUUUUCAUAGCUGCUUUAAUCAUUUUUAGUUAUGAAUGCAUUACCAAUGAUGCACUUGUUUUUUUCAUUACGUGUUAAAAUAUUGUUUUCUGUAAAUAUCGAUGUUACCGGACUUGAUUGGUUUGUUGUUGGACUUAAUGAAGAUGCAUUAUUAGCCAUUUUUUCUUUUUCAUAUCAAUUUUCAUAGCUGCUUUAAUCAUUUUUAGUUAUGAAUGCAUUACCAAUGAUGCACUUGUUUUUUUCAUUACGUGUUAAAAUAUUGUUUUCUGUAAAUAUCGAUGUUACCGGACUUGAUUGGUUUGUUGUUGGACUUAAUGAAGAUGCAUUAUUAGCCAUUUUUUCUUUUUCAUAUCAAUUUUCAUAGCUGCUUUAAUCAUUUUUAGUUAUGAAUGCAUUACCAAUGAUGCACUUGUUUUUUUCAUUACGUGUUAAAAUAUUGUUUUCUGUAAAUAUCGAUGUUACCGGACUUGAUUGGUUUGUUGUUGGACUUAAUGAAGAUGCAUUAUUAGCCAUUUUUUCUUUUUCAUAUCAAUUUUCAUAGCUGCUUUAAUCAUUUUUAGUUAUGAAUGCAUUACCAAUGAUGCACUUGUUUUUUUCAUUACGUGUUAAAAUAUUGUUUUCUGUAAAUAUCGAUGUUACCGGACUUGGGGGGGGGGAGUGGGGAGCCCCCUACUUAUAGGUACGAUGAGUAAAUUAUAGCUAUCGGAUAAAAACAAUUCAGAUGCUCAGGAUUGCGUCACGUGGCAAGCUUUGAUUAGUUGGAAUACAUCAUCAGUCAACACCACAUUAGCAUUUCGAUCUAAUAAUAUGCUGCCACGUCAUUGGUCUACGCUACAUCAUCAGUCAACGUCACAUAAUCAAUAAAUGCCACAUCAUUGGCCUAAUAGGAUGCUGCCACAUCAUCGGUCAAUGCCACAUCAUCACAUCGCACACGUGAACAGUUCCAUACAUGUGAAUAGUAAUGUAUACGUGAACAAUACUGUAUAUGUCAGUAGUAUCAUAAAUGUAAAUGGUGCCAUAUACCCCUUUAUGCUCCUCUUAAGGAUUUCAAUUGUUCCGAGCUAAAAAAUGCCAUCCGUUUUUUUGUCCAACUUCUCUUUAAUUAUGAAAUAAUCAAAAUACUAUUCAAAUACAUAAAAUACUCAAAUUAUAACAAAACACACACAAUCAAAUUUUAAAGGACUUAAACAUAUAAAAGUAGAAAUGUUAGUGAGACUUGGAGUACAAAAUGAUAAUUGUAUCCUUUAUAAAUACGCAUUCUCCAGUACUUAACACAUGUGCGAAGACAUAAGGAAAUAUUUUACUAGUAAGAAGGAGUUACAAGUAUUGUAAUAUUUUUGUCUUACAACCCAAAAAACCCAAUACACCUAAACUCUUAAAACACUAGAACAAAUGCUUAAAGCUCUCAGGGCACUCUCUUCUAACUCUUGACUUCUCUCAACUGAAUUGAAAAAUGGGAUGAUUGAAGAUGGUAAAUGAAGCCUCUAUUUUAUGGGCUUCAUGUUCCCUCUUUCUUUAAUUUUUAUUAUUAUACAAAACUUAGUGGAUAUCGAAAGUUACACUAAUAAUGUGUUACUUACUCAUGUCUCCUACUUAUCUCAACAAAUUAUGCCAAAAGUCAAAAUGUUGCAUGAUAACCACAUGCAAUUACUUGCUACAUGCAUGCAUAUGUUCAACAUUAUGUGUGUUUGCUCUUAUUAAACGACAUCAACUAGUCAUCUACCUAUUGAUCUUGGGGCUUAAUAUUAUAUGUUUCAUACCAGAAUUUGCAUAACAAAAAGUAAUGAAGAGAUUAAUUAAUAUGUAUGUGUCUCAGUGUGUGUACGGACAAAAUAUAUGCAUAAAGAGAGGCAUGGAAAAGGCUUAGCUGCUAAAUAAAAACAAUAACAAUUAUGUUUAUUACAUGGCCACAGUCAGCCUGGAGAGAGGUUCAUGAGAGACCUCUUUUAUUACAUUAAUUAAGAUAUGAUAAUCUGGAGAUAAAGUAAUACAGCCACUAGUGAAGAGGCCAUUUAUAUUAAAGCUCAUUAAUUCCUUCUCCUAAUUGCCAUUAAUGAACUUAUUUUGAAGAUCUUUCACUAUCUUUGGGUCCAACUGGAAUGCCUUGCCAAGAAAAUCGGGAUUGAUUGAAGGAUUGGCUCCAAAGACUGUGUCGGCUAUGGUAACUUCACCCGGGAAUUGGCUGUUUAGAGCAGAAUAGGCAGCUGCAUUUGUUUUUCCAAUGUUGAAUUGGAAGUGAAUCAAACCUUGUGGAAACACAAAAACAUCUCCCUUAUUUAGAACUUUUGCGAUGAGUGUGUUAUUCAGUUGGUCUGAUGUCACAAAACCGACAUAAAGAGUUCCUUCCAGGACUAAGAAGAUUUCGCUGGCACGGGGGUGAAUGUGAGGUGGCCUUUGGCCAUAUGGUGCAUAGUCAAUACAUAGUCAAUGCGGAAUGCUGAUAUGCCAAGGGUGUUGAGUCCUGGAAUUUGCUCAACAUUUGCAUCUGUUUCAUCAACACCAAGUCGAUUUGCUGUGUUUCCAGGCUUGCCUAGCCCUGAGAAGAAGAAAUCUUCUGCUCUCGCAAGCUUGGGGUCCUUGCAGAACUUCCCAUUCACAAACACUACAAGAACGCACAACACAUACGCACAAAGGGGGGGAAAAAGGAAUAAUUAAGUAGCAGAAGUACCCGCACAAAUUAUAUUGAAAAUUAUAUGUUUCAUCAGUUCAGUUUACGUACCACCAUCCUUGGGGUCAUUGAUGGCUACACAGACAUCUUGAAGAUGGCCAGGGUCAGUGGCAGAGGCCAAAGAAGAAGCCAAAGCCAAGAGGGCAAAACCUAUAAGAAAUUGAAUUACCUUCAUGGUGAUUAAGUCACAGGAUGUGCCUAUCUCAAACUUUAAUCAAGUGUUGUGAUUUGAGAAUCUUGUGAGGAACUAGACUAUUUAUAGAACCAAGUCCAUGAACGAGUUUGUGUGUUCAAUUAUUAGUCCUCGAAGCAAGUCAAGACUUAUUGGGUCCUUAAUAAUAUAACUUUGUAAUGUUUUGCAUCCCUCGUUUUCAUUUGUUUUUCAAAAUUUACAUGUAGAACUUGAUUGAUGGUACACAUCUUAAAUAUAAAUUGUAAAACAUACAAAAUAAUGUUUGGCUGACAAUGAUAUAACUUUGUAAUGUUUUGCAGCUCUCAUUUUCAUUUUUGUUUGUUUGCUGGUACACAUAUUAAAUGUAAAUUGGAAAACAUACAAAUCAAAGUCUGGCUACAAUGAUAAAUGAACCGACCAGCUUCGAAUUUUCCUGGGUAAAUUAAUCUAGUCUCAUCAAAACUGACUUGAUAUUAAUCUAAUUAAUGAAAAUUUUGUUAAAAAUUCAGCACUCUUUUAUAAACAUAACACUCUCAAUAUACAAAUAUGAAUAUAACACUCCCCAAAAUAAUUUAAUAUACAACCAACUCUAAUGAUCAACAUUCUCAAUAAAAAUACUAAAUUUUAGUAUUUGACUCAAAAUAUCUAUAGGGUAUCAAAAGAUUAUAUUAUAACUAAGGGAAAUUAUCAUUGCACCACCUUUAUUUUGUCUUAUGUUUAUCCAACCACUACAAAAUUUUAACAUGUACUUUGCACCAUUUUUCUUUUCACAUUUGUAUCAACUAGUCACUUUACAUUAACACUAUUAAAUAAUUUUAAUAAAAUGAUAAUUUUACCCUAAAUAAAUUAAAAGAUCAUUUUAUUUUAUAAAAAAUUUAAAAAAUAAAAAAAUAUAAUGGUUAUGUUUUUUAUUAAAUUUAGGGAUAUUUUUAUGAUUAUAAUUUUUAAUUUUAAAAAUUUUUAUAAGAUAAAAUAAUCUUUUAAUUUAUUUGGGGGUAAAAUUAUCAUUUUAUUAAAAUUAUUUAAUAGUGUUAAUGCAAAAGUGACUAAUUGAUACAAAUGUAAAAAAAAAAAUGGUGCAAAAUACAUGUUAAAAUUUUGUGGUGGCUGAAUGAACAUAAGGCAAAAUAAAGGUGGUGCAAUGAUAAUUUCCCUAUAACUAAUAUUAACAUAUUUGUUUAUUCUUAAUCCCAAAAGAAUAAUAUAACAAAAUUAUACAAUCCCAAAAGGGUGAGAUGAUCCGGAUGUCCUAACAAAAAAAUCAUCUAUAUCUUCUAAUAUCAUCACGUGGCCAAAACUCAAAAUAUAUUUACAGCCGCUGGGUCGGUUUGGUGUACCUGCAACCUCCUGUUGGGGGGAGGAAAAUAUAAUAAAAACCGAAUGAGUAUAAAACUCAGUGAGCUUAGUGAGUAUAUAGUAAUUUUUGAAAACAAAUUUUUACUUUAAAAGAAAUAAUCAUAUCAUUUCCAAACACAAUUUCAUCAAACCAUAUGCGAGAAACCAGUAAUAAAUCAUUUAACAUUUAAAUCAGAUUACCAACCUUGAAAAGCAUAUAUAAUAUCGUAGCUAAUAACCAUGGAAAUCAUAUCACAAUAUCAUAUAGAAUACACAAAUAUGAAAAUCAUCACUAAACAAGUACCAAGAGGAAUAAUCUCAUCGUAUCCGGACCUCAACGGAUGGACAAUGACGUACUAUUUAGAUAUUGUCACACCCCGGAACUACACGGAUAGACAAGAAAAUAUCAUCUCAUAUCUCAUGAUAUAUGUGCAUGUAUAAUCUAGUCCCCAAAGGACAAAAGCGCCCAAGCACAUGGCCCAAAGCCUCUAUGUGUACUCAGACGAGCCCUCAAUGCAUGUAUCUCAUAUGUAUCAUCUGUAUAUGUAUCACUGUUAUCAUCAUAUCACAUGCAUAUGCCCCCAAAAGGCAGAAGUGCCUAAACACACGGCCCAAAGCCUCUAUGUGUGUUCAGACGGGCCCCAAAGACCUCUCAUCUCUAUACUUAUAAAAGAGAAGGGUAUUGUCGAAUGAUUUUAAAAACAAUCUCUAUACUCAUAUUCAUAUAAAUUAUAAUCAUACUUUAAAUCAUACAUUUCUUUUUAUUAUCACAUCUAAAUCCACUUUUCUCAUCUUUAAAAUACCAUAAUAUUUUAUUCAAAGUCGAUACGAAAAACUAUUAACGAAACAUUUUAAUAUAAUAUCAAUGCGUGAAUAAAAUCCAUUUCAAGAAAAUCAUUAAUGCGUGAAUAAAAUCCAUUUCAUAUCAAUGCGUGAAUAAAAUCCAUUUCAAGAAAAUCAUUAAAUCAGAACAUUUAAAAUACUUAUUUCGCAAACAUACUUUACUAUCAUAAUUAAUUAUGAAAAUAAAUUUUGUAUAUUCCACUCACAGUGACGAUGUUUACGCUCGGUUAUCGUCCACGUCCGCGGACUGACUCUCACUUGCGGAUCCUCCUAAAUCAAGAAAACGACAUAAUUAUUUUCUAUAAAUCAGAAUUAGGACUAAAUUUAUGCAACAAACUCGAAACAAACAUCUAUCCAUAAUUUACAACUCCCGUAUCGAUAAAAUUACUAAAAUACCCUUAAAUAUGUAAAUCAUUAAGAUACUUCGAAAUUAUAAAUCACCGAAUUACCCUCGGAAUCAUAAUUACACCCAAUCUUCAAUUUCAGGAAUUACUAAAAUAUCCACAGGCUCAUAAAUUACAAAACCGCUAUCAAAAUGUGAAAUUACCGAAUUGCCCUUACCGGUCAACGGUGGCCGGAAUUCAAGCAACGGUGACCGGGAAGCUCAGGUCAGACGCUUCUCGCUGAGCUGAGUUCAAUGAUACCGGCAGUGUGCUCCCACGCGUGGCGACGGCACCAGAAUCUAGCUCGACAGUCGUGUUACUACAACGGCUGAACCACGACAAAUCGACGGCUCUUGGUGGGUGUGGAUGGUCAGAAAAUUAAAGGGGAGUCGUGGGGAACAAAAUCCAGCCGGUGCUGUCACCCAAAACCGGUGAAAAUCUCAACAGAGCAAGGUGGAAAAGUAGCGGGUUUUUCAAGCUUUGGUCACCGACGUUCUAGCUGUUUUCCGGCGACGUGGACGAUUGGGGCAUGAUGGCCGGUUUGCAAGCUUCAGAUUGGUACCAAACUUGACCGGUUGGGUGGCCGGAAUCACAAGAUAUCGCCGGGUCGAAUUUCAGGUCAAACGGGUCGGGUUUCGGGUCGGUUUACAGCUUCUCUCACUCUCUCGUACGUGUGUAUCUGUUUCCCUGUGUCAAACUUCUUCUUUUACUUUUAUUUACUUUUUAACCGCCUCAUCUUUUUUUUUUUUUUUUUUCCACGUGUGUUACAAUAAAACCCAAAACAGGUUAGACACGUUUCCACCAAUCUUCAAAACGAACAUAAAAUAUAAUAAGAAACAAUAUUUUAACGCGUUUCCAAAGCAUAAUUAAAAUAUAAUUUUUUCAUUGGAAAGAAACGAGUUGAAGAAUUUAUGAAAAUGGGUGAGAAACAAAUUCAAGUCUCUGGCCACAGGCUAACAGUUGAGAGUCAUGUUCUGUAAAUAUCGAUGUUACCGGACUUGAUUGGUUUGUUGUUGGACUUAAUGAAGAUGCAUUAUUAGCCAUUUUUUCUUUUUCAUAUCAAUUUUCAUAGCUGCUUUAAUCAUUUUUAGUUAUGAAUGCAUUACCAAUGAUGCACUUGUUUUUUUCAUUACGUGUUAAAAUAUUGUUUUCUGUAAAUAUCGAUGUUACCGGACUUGAUUGGUUUGUUGUUGGACUUAAUGAAGGUGCAUUAUUAGCCAUUUUUUUCUUUUUCGUGGCUGCUUUAGCCAUUUUUUCUUUUUCGUGGCUGCUUUAACCAUUUUUAGUUCUAUGAUUGCUUUACCAAGUCAAUGAUGCACUUGUUUUUUUUCAUUAAGUGUUAAAAUACUGUUUUCAGUGGUCACGUUAAUUGAUAUAUAUCAUUUUCCAUCUUAUUUUCAGUGAUCACAAAUCAAAAUGUGAAUAAGCUGGUGUCGGCACGUUUGGUUAGAGAUAGUGAUAUCAUUUUCCAAUGUCAAGUGAUAUAUAUCAUUUCAACUUUAAAAGCUAAUUUUAAUAUUUAAUAAAUAUUUUUACAAAUAACUUUUAGUAAAAUCAUGUAAAUUUUGAAAAAUAGAAAAAAAUAGUUUUUUAAAAUCUGAUUUCGAGAAUCACUUUUAUACUUAAUAUAUAAUUUAUAUAUAUCCUCAUAUAUAAGACAAAAAUUCAAAAUCAUCCUUAUUAAUUAGAAAAUAAAAUUAUUAAUUUUAAAAAAUUAUUAUUAUUAUCAAUUAUAUUGAGAUAACAAAAUAAAAAAUAAAAUUGAUAAUAUAAAAUAUUUAUUUUAGUUAUCAAUUAUUAUAUAUACACAACUAAAAAUAUUUUAUUUACAUGUUUAUAAAUGUGUAAUUAAAUUUUAUUCAACAAAUGUUCACUUCACUUAUUUAUAUUCUUACAACAUUUUAACAUUAAGAUUUACCAAAUACAUACAACCGCUUUUAAAACUCACAACAUUUUUAAAAAUAAAUUUUACUAAACUUUUAAUUGGUUCUCUAUUAUAGCUGAUUAUUUCUACAGUAUGACUAACAAUAAUUAUUUUAAAAACUAUAACAUUAUUAACUUAGCCCUUAGUGACUCAAUUGAUUAAAAUUAAGUCAAUUAAAUCACUAAGUUAGGAAAACAAACCGCCCUUUAGUUACUUUCUUAAUGUAAAUAUUAGUAAAUUAUAAUGCAAAUAAAGAUAAUAAUCUCUUCCUUUGUUCACUUUUUUAAUUAAAAUUAGUUGCAUUAGCUAUUUUGAAUAACAAAUUGAAUUGAUCACGAAAUAAUAAUCUCUUCUUCCAAUCAUAUGAGUGGGUUUGAGUGACUCAGGUAGUCAUGGGAAUUUGUUUUAUUUGAUUUCUACACUUGGCUUUUUAGGAUUAUUUGUAAGGACAUUAAUUAUGUAUUUUUAAUGGGUUUAUAUGUUAAUUAUAUUGCAUGUAAUAUUAAAGGUUUGUCAACAAGUUGGCAACCAUUUAAGAGUAUCUCCAAAAAUCUUUAUAAAUUUUAUUCUUUAAAUAUCUAUUUACUUACCUAUGUGACAAAUAGAAGGGUGAAAAAAUAUGAUAUUCUCUAAAAGUCUCUUCAAAUAAAAAUAGGUUAAUAUUAUUUUAAUCAAAUAAUAAUUUUUUUAAAGGAAAAGUCAAUAUCAAUUAAAGCACUUAUCUCUCUUUCUCCAAUGAAAAGUAAGAAAACAUAAAUUGAAGAUGGAGAAAUCAAAUCUUCAAAUUUAAAAAGAGAUAAUCAUUUCUUAUUUAAAAAAUCUUAAUUGAAGUGUCUUUUGAAGUCGUAAAUAUUGAUGUGGCUCUUUAAAUAAGUAAUAAAAUCUUAUUUGAAGAGCGUUUUGGUGAUGCUCUAAUUAGUUAAAAUGCAUUCAUGUCAGUAUUUAAGAUACGUAUCACUUUCUGGCAACAAUGUUAAUAUAUGUUUCCGUUCGAACUUUCCACUUGCUGCUUGACCCAUGUAAGUUAUGAAAAAGUUUCCGAGAAUUGACUUACAAAAGGAUGCUAAUCUCUUUUCUUUUUCUCUUUUUUCCGGGGGAAAUUGCAGGUCAAGAAUCUGGAGAGGUCAUAUUUCAAAAUGUCGAGGCUCCAUUGUUAGCUAUUUUGAAUAACAAAUUGAAUUGAUCACGAAAUAAUAAUCUCUUCUUCCAAUCAUAUGAGUGGGUUUGAGUGACUCAGGUAGUCAUGGGAAUUUGUUUUAUUUGAUUUCUACACUUGGCUUUUUAGGAUUAUUUGUAAGGACAUUAAUUAUGUAUUUUUAAUGGGUUUAUAUGUUAAUUAUAUUGCAUGUAAUAUUAAAGGUUUGUCAACAAGUUGGCAACCAUUUAAGAGUAUCUCCAAAAAUCUUUAUAAAUUUUAUUCUUUAAAUAUCUAUUUACUUACCUAUGUGACAAAUAGAAGGGUGAAAAAAUAUGAUAUUCUCUAAAAGUCUCUUCAAAUAAAAAUAGGUUAAUAUUAUUUUAAUCAAAUAAUAAUUUUUUUAAAGGAAAAGUCAAUAUCAAUUAAAGCACUUAUCUCUCUUUCUCCAAUGAAAAGUAAGAAAACAUAAAUUGAAGAUGGAGAAAUCAAAUCUUCAAAUUUAAAAAGAGAUAAUCAUUUCUUAUUUAAAAAAUCUUAAUUGAAGUGUCUUUUGAAGUCGUAAAUAUUGAUGUGGCUCUUUAAAUAAGUAAUAAAAUCUUAUUUGAAGAGCGUUUUGGUGAUGCUCUAAUUAGUUAAAAUGCAUUCAUGUCAGUAUUUAAGAUACGUAUCACUUUCUGGCAACAAUGUUAAUAUAUGUUUCCGUUCGAACUUUCCACUUGCUGCUUGACCCAUGUAAGUUAUGAAAAAGUUUCCGAGAAUUGACUUACAAAAGGAUGCUAAUCUCUUUUCUUUUUCUCUUUUUUCCGGGGGAAAUUGCAGGUCAAGAAUCUGGAGAGGUCAUAUUUCAAAAUGUCGAGGCUCCAUUGUUCUGGGCAGAAGCCCCAACACUUCAAAGUAACUGAGAAUGACUUGGACUUCCCUUGCGAUAGAUAGGUAGACGGGAAGGGAAACGGGAUUGCAGAUAAAAGCAAAGAGAAAUAAUAGAACGAUGAUUAUUGUAUUUAGAAGAAAUUGUUUCACCUUAUUCAAAUGACGCCAUGGCUGUGUUUGUGAUGUCAGUGCUGACGAUGGAUUGUAGUUUGUGUCCAAAUGUACCUUCUUCUUUUUUUGGGUCUGAACCAUCCGGUAUCCGGCGAUCACAUUGGGCCCCGACUACUCCGGAUUCGGGACGGGUGCUAAUAAAGCCCUCCCAACGAGGGCGACUCCCAGAGAACUCGAACUGAAGAGCUAACCCAAUCAACCCACCUAAGGAGUUCAGCCGGCGCCAGCUGAACCAACACCUCGUUGGUUCCAAAUGUACUUUUCUAUGUAUAAGGAUUCGUAAAAAACGUUGGAGAUUAGAAAAGAAAAUAAAUAGAUCCUUCCUCAAGCUGUCGGUGCUCUUCUAUUAGAGUUGGGACCAGUGGCACCUCUUUAAUCUCAUCAUAAAAUUCCUUUUUCAGUUAUAUUUACUUUAUUUGUGAUAAUGUCUUUUUUUUCCUUUUUUUAUUUUAAGAACACUUUUAAUUUUUUAUUUAAUUUUUUUAGUUAAAACUUUAAAAGUAGUAGUGUUAUUCAUUUUUUAUUUCUUUUGUAAUCUUAUUAUUAUCUUACGCAUAAAUUAAAAGAUUUAAAAAAAAAUUUAGGUGAUGAAUUUUUUAAUGUUAAUUAUUUAAUUAAAUUAUACAUAUGUUAAACUAUAAUUUAAAAAUAAUUUUUAAGUACACAAAUAUUUAAUUAAUAAGAAAUAUGAAAAGAAUAAUAGAUUAUUUCAAAUUUUGUAUGGUUUAUUUUAGUUAGAUAAGAAGUAACCGGCAAAAAAUUUAAAAAAAGAUUGAUUAUAAUUAUAAGUAAUUUUUUUUAAAGAUAGAUUAUGAAUAUAAGUGAUUUAUUAAAAAAAAAAUUAUGUAUGAUUAAUUUUAUUUGAAGCAGGGUUUUGAAGGAUAAUGAAGGGGUCCCAAACGCUGUGGGUUUGUUGGCUCUUCCGCUGUCAAAAGUCACGUAUGCUUGGAAGCUUUUAAAAAGCAUGAUGGUAAUGUAAUACUGCAAUUGGAUCAUGGAUUUUUCAUUUAAGAAGAUAGCCACCUGGCGGCAACUCUGAUAUACAAAACAUGUAUUUCAGAAUACGGAAUCUAUCCAAACAUAUAGCAUGCAAGUGCGAUUGCCAGCUCGAGCAGUUUUUAUUGCGGAAUUCUUUCAAACACAUAGCACGCAUGUGAAGUUCCCGCAUUGGACCUUCCAAGAUGUUAGUUUCUCUAUUCAGAAACUGAACUCAAUGCCUCAUCCCCUCCUUCAAAGCCAUGACCCUCGUGGCCGCGGUUAACACCUCAUAUUGGGAAAGGGACUAUCACAACCAGUUGUAAAUUAAGCGGAAACAAAACUUUUUCUCUUUUUGUGUGAUUAAAAUAUGAUGUGUACCACAAAUAAAUAGGCAGAAAAAUAAACUAAUAAAUCUAAAGUAAAAACCAACCACAAGAGACACAAAUUUUUAUGUGAAAACCCCAAAGCGAAAAAAACUAUGGGACCGUAAUCCGAUAUAAUCUUUCAAUAUAUUAAUGAGAUUACAACACAAAUUCUUCUCUAGAUAAUACUAAAAGCUACCAACAUCAAGAAUCUCAAUAUUCUUGGCUUACAGUAACAGUCUAAUAAACAGUCUCUCUAAUAAGUAGGUAUCUUAAAUAAUAGCCAACGAGAGAAUAAAAUAAAAAUUAAGACCAAUAAAAUUAUAGAAGGCGAUGUCAAGAACUUACCCUCAAAAUUUAAGAGAAAAUGGAGUUAAAAUCGCCUUCUGAUCAUCUAAUUAAAGAUUGAAAAUCUUACCCCCAAAUAAUCUCAACUCUACUGUCUAUUCUUUUCCCUCCCGUCUUUCUCUUCUCUCAAAAGGUUACUGCCGCCUCCACUUAUGCUUGUUUAUAUAGCCAAAUUUCAUGAAAAUUUUCAUUUGCCCCCUUUAAGUUUUCUUUAAUUACUUAAUUAUCCAAACUUAUUAAACUUUGAGCUUGGGCCAACCAAAUAAGAUGGACCCAACAAAUCUCCCUCUUCAGAUCAUAUGGGGGGCACCACUAAACCCGCUUUCUAUAUACAACUUUAUAGCUUUUCCUUGGACAAUGAUUUUGUCAUCAUAUCUGACCCAUUCUCCAUUAUGUGUAUCUUUUCAACCUACAACUGUUUCUUCUCAAGCACAUCUCGUAUCCAAUUAUACCUCACAUCAAUAUGCUUGGAUUUUGAAUGGUAUGUCGAAUUCUUUGCCAAGUGAAUGACACUCUGACUGUCGCAGUACACAACAAAAUUAUCUUGCUUCACACCCAAAUCUUGUAAGAAAUUCUUCAUCUACAAGGUUUCUUUGCAACCUUCAGUGAUUGCAAUAUACUCUGCUUCUGUGGUAGACAAGGCAACACAUUGCUGAAGUUUAGACUGCCAUGAGACUGCUCUCCUUGCAAAGGUGAGCAAAUAUUCUGAUAGAGAUUUUCUGGAAUCAACAUCUCCUGCCAUGUCUGGAUUAAUGUACACUUAUAACACAAGUUUAUCACCAUCAAAACAUAAACAUGCAUUGGAAGUGCCUCUAAGGUAUAUGAGAAUCUACUUUACUACAGUCCAGUGUUCUUUGCCCAGAUUAGAGAGAAACCGACUGACUACACUAACUGCAUGAGCAAUAUCUGGUCUUGUACAAACCAUGGUGUACAUCUAACUACCAACUGCUGAAGUAUAAGAAACUCAUUUCAUCUUUUGCUUCUAUUUCUCACUUGUAAGAGAAUGCUUGGAAGUAAGCUUGAAAUGGCCUGCAAGUGGAGAACAAACUGGUUUUGUCUUGCUUAUGUUAAAUCUUUCAAGAACCUUUUCAACAUAUAUUUCUUGAGAUAACCAUAACUUCCCAGAUUUUUUAUCGCGGGAAAUCUUCAUGCUAAGAAUCUGUUUCACCGGUCUUAAGUCCUUUAUUUGCAAAAGACUUGCUAAGCUCCCUCUUCAGAUUGUCAAUCUUACUAGCAUCUCAGCCAACAAUCAACAUAGCAUCCACAUAAAGCAAAAGAAUAAUGAAAUAAUUAUCACCAAAUUUCUUCACAAAAAUACAAUAGUCACACAUAGUCUUACUGAAACCAUGAUUCUCCAUAAAAGAAUCAAACUUCUUGUACCACUGCCUUGGUGCCUGUUUUAGCCCAUACAAACUUUGGCUCCUCCCCCACCUUUCUUUCUUUUCUGAAAUAAGUGCAUCUGACUUAGAGGGAACCGCUUCAACACUUUUUCUUCUAGAUUCUUCAUUCUGCAGCCUAUCUGUAACCAUAUUCAAGGUUAAUUUCCCAUUCGACACUGAAUUAUUUACCGACACCACUAAUGUCUCCCAAUUAUCAGGCAAAGAACUAAGCAACAACAAUACUUGUAACUCAUCAUCUAGAAUAUUUUUCAUAGUAGUCAACUGAUCAACCAAGCCUUGAAACUCACUAAUGUAUUCAGUUGUACUGCGCCCUUCCUUGUAUUUCAAAUUAACAAGUCUUUUCAUCAGAUUGACUUUAUUAUGUGCUGUCGGCUGCUCAUAAAUCGUCUCUAAUUUUCUCCAAAUAACAUCAACCUUGGAUUCUUUCGCGUCACGGUGAUACACACUUUGAUCAAUCCAUGAUCUAAUAGUACCCACAAUCUUCUAGUUUAAUUGAGCCCAUUUCUUAUUAUCUAAAUCGGCGGGUCUAUCUUAUUCGCCUUCAAUGGGUUCAUGUAAGUCUUUUAUGUACAACAAAUCUUCCAUCCUAGACAUCCAAAUACCAUAAUUUCAUGAUUUUAAUUUAAUCAUGCAUGCCAAGGACUCCUCCAUCUCAACCACAUAAGUAAUAAAAAUACAAAACCUAACGCUCUGAUACAACUCUGUUAGGAAAAUGCACUACCACAACCAGUUGCAAGUUAACCGGAAACAAAAUUUUUUCCCUUUUUGUGCGAUUAAAAUAGGAUGUAUACCACAAAUAAAUAGACAGAAAAAUAAACCAAUAAAUCCAAAGCAAAAACCAACCACAAGAGAUAUAGAUUUUUACAUGGAAAAUCCAAUAUGGGAAAAACCACGGGACCGUAGUAUAAUAUAAUCUUCCACUAUAUUAAUGGGAUUACAGUACAAAUUCUUCUCUAGAUAAUACUAGAGGUUACCAACAUCAAGAAUCUCAAUAUUCUUAGCUUAUAGUAAUAAUUUAAUAACAGUUUCUCUAACACGUGGGUAUCUCAAAUAGUAGCCAACGAGAGAAUAAAAUAAAAAUUAAGACCAAUAGAAUUAUAGAGGGCAAUGCCAGGAACUUACCCUCAAAAUUUGAGAGAAAACAAAGUUAGAAUCACCUUCCGAUUGUCUAAUUAGAGAUCGAAAAUCUUAGUUAGAAUCACCUUCCGAUUGUCUAAUUAGAGAUUGAAAAUCUUGCCCCCAAAUAAUCUCAAAUCCAUUGUCUUUUCUUUUCUCUCCCGUCUUUUUUUUGCCGCAAAAGGUUGCUGUCACCUCCACUUAUGCUUGCUUAUAUAGCCAAAUUUCAUAACAAAUUUUAUUUGCCCCUUCAAUUUUCCUUUAAUUGUUUAAUUACCCAAACUUAUUAAACUUUGAGCUUAGGCCACCAAAAUGAGAUUGACUAACACCUCAAAAGACGAUUACUACGCAGCCGUAAACCACAUCGCCAACAUAGUCCGUCACGAAAUAGAUCCAGAACGCACCCUCAACAGACUCAACCUCACCCUCACCUCAGAGAUUGUCUACUGCGUCCUCCGCAUCUGCCAUACUACUUCCCCUUCUGAAUCCCUCCGCUUCUUCACCUGGGCCUGCUCCCAGCCCUAAUACUCCCCCACCUCCCUCGAAUUCGAACAGCUCAUUUGAUCCUUGCCCACCACAAACUCUACCAGUCUAUGUGGAAUCUACAUUCUUUUGGCAUUUGAUUGCGUUACGCACAAGCACGCUGUUAUUUAUUUUUAAGCAACAAUGGUGUUUGUAAUUAUUGCCUUUUCUGGCUUUAUCUAGUGUUUAUCUGAGUAAUAAACAAUACUAAAUAGUUUGGUUGAUGGACUCUUGGACUUGGUGAAGAAACGUGUUUUCAUUUCUUAAAUAAAACAUUAUACACUGAGAGUUAUUUAUAGAUGCAGAGGCUACAUUUUUUCAAAGAUUACAUAUGUGAAUACGGAAGGAAAUGUGUCAAUCCGUUCGACGCGGAUCUUGUCUUUGACAAGUGCAUAUUAUCCUUUUGACAAGUGUGGAUUCUGUCUUUGAAAGCUUCAUUCAAUGCCGUUUUUUUUAUCCUCAACACUCCUCCUCAAGCUGGUGCAUAGAUAUCUUGCAUACCCAACUUGUCUAGGAAUUUUGUAAAUGCCCUGCUUGAAAUGGCCUUCGUUAAAAUAUCUGCAAGUUGAUAUUCUGAUCGAAUUUUCGGCAGUUCUAAGAUUUUUUCAUCUAAUUUCUCAUUGAUGAAAAAUCUAUCUACCUCGACAUGUUUUGUUCGAUCAUGUUGAACUGGGUUAUGAGUAAUAUCUCGUGUAGCUUUAUUGUCACAGUAUAGUUGUAUUGGUUGUUGUGACGGAUAGCCCAAAUCAUUUAAGAUAAAACUUAUCAAUAGCCCUUUACAUACCCCAAGGGCCAUGCCUCGAUAUUCUGCUUUAGCGCUCGAACGGGCAACGACAUGUUGUUUCUUGCUUCUUCAUGUGACAAGGUUGCCUCCCACAAAAGUAAAGUAUCCUAAAGUAGAGCGUCUAUCACUAACUGACCCGGCCCAAUCUGCAUCAGUAUAAACUUCUAUGUUGCUGUAAUCUUUAUUUUUGGAAAAUAGGAUUCCUUUUCCUGGAUUUGUCUUCAUGUACCUCAGGAUCCGCAUUACUGCUUUCAUGUGUUGUUCUCCGGGAUUAUGCAUAAACUGACGUACAACACUCAAUGCAUAAGCAAGAUCUGGCCUUGUGUGGGACAAGUACAUCAAUCUUCCAAUCAACCUUUGAUAUCUUCCUUUGUCUACUGGAACUUGGUCUGAGGUAAUACAAAACUUCAGUCCUUCUUCUAUUGGGGUGUCAAUAAAUCUGACAAGCUGUCAUUCCUGUUUCGUGCAAUAGAUAUAAGGCAUAUUUCCUUUGAGACAGAAAGAUUCCUCCCUUAGAUCGAGAAACCUCAAUUCCAAGAAAGUAUUUUAAGGCACCUAAAUCCUUCAUCUCAAACUCUCUUGACAAGUACUUCUGAAGAACCUCUGUUUCUUCCUCGUCGUUGCCUGUAACUACCUUAUCAUCCACAUAGACAAUAAAGGCAGUGAUUUUAUCUUGUCAUUUUUUAAUGAAUAAGGUAUGAUCUGAAUUGCUUUGGUUAUACCCAAAACGAACCAUAGCCUUUGUGAAUUUCUCGAACCAUGCUCUUGGGGAUUGCUUCAACCCAUACAAUGAUUUCUUCAAUUUGCAUACUUUUUUAUUGAGUCAUUCUGGUCCACUGCAUCCUGGUGGCAAAUCCAUAUAAAUUUCUUCAAACAGGUCUCCAUGGAGGAAAUCAUUUUUUACAUCAAACUGUUGCACUGGCCAAUCCAAGUUGACUGGUAAUGAUAAUAAGAUACGAAUAAUAUUAAUUUUUGCUGCCGGUGCAAACAUAUCAGUAUAAUCAAUCCCGUAGGUUUGGGUGUAACCCUUAGCUACGAGUCUUGCUUUGUAUCGUUCAAUAGAGCCAUCUGCUUUGUACUUUAUAGUGUAGAUCCAUCGACAACCCACUGGUUUCUUUUCUGGUGGAAGAUCAACUAGUUCCCAUAGUCGCUUUCCACUUUGGGUCUUUUAAGGCUUCCUGCACACUAUUAGGAAUAGAUACAGUAGAUAAUUGAUUCACAAAUGACUGAUUUGAUUCUGACAAGCGAUGGUUAGACACAAAAUGACUCAUAGGGUAAUUAACUAUACUAGAGAAGUCAGGCUCGUAUGUGGGUUUAGGGAUACCUCUAUUUUGACGUUGGGAAAGAAUUCUUUUGAUUGGACUUGUGGUAGGAACAUCCUCUACAGACGAUUGGUUAGGUAUUUCUUCAUGUGACUCAUUCUCGAUUGCAGUUGUGUCUAAGUUAUUUUGCUCCCCAAAUGUGUCUUCACUUAUCUCAGCCUGAGAAUCACCACCAUUUUCUUUUCCAGUAUCUUGAAGGUUUACAACCUCAAUGGAAGAUUGAUCUUCUUUAGGUGGAAGAUAUAUAAGAUUAUGAAUUUCCUCUUCAUUAUACUCCCCCUGAAAUUCAGGCUUUGACAAGUAGUAUAUGAUAUCUUCAUGAAAGACGACAUCCAUGGUGAUGUAUAUUUUUCUUGAUGGUGGAUCAUAUCAUCGGUAUCCCUUUUGCUGUAAGGCAUACCCUACAAACACACAACGUAGUGCUCGAGGAGAUAAUUUGUCUUGUUGCGGCAAAUGAACGAAGGCAACACAGCCAAACACAUGUGGGGGCAGAUUCGGCACAUUUGGUGACAUAAUUGCAUUAUUCAGAACUUGAAAAGGAGUCUGGAAUCCAAGGGAGCUUGAAGGUGUUCGAUUGAUCAAGUAUGCUGCGGAUGCCAGUGUUUCUCCCCAAUAAGAUAGUGGCAUGUGGGCUUGGAUUCGUGAUGCUCGAACAACUUCUAGUAAAUGUCUGUUUUUUCGUUCAGCAACCCCAUUUUGUUGGGGUGUCCCCACACAAGUGGUUUGAUGGACAGAUCCUUGUGAUUUCAGAAACUGUUGAAUUGUUGUGCUCAUAUACUCGCCUCCAUUAUCAGUAUGUAGAACUCGAAUUUGUGUCAUAUGAUCAAAAGUCAUAUGAUCAGUUGCCCCAGAAUCAAUUAUCUAUGUACUAUUAAUAACAGGUGUAAGAGUUUUAAGGGCCAUACCUGGACUGACAGAGGUUGCGAUUUGCACUGAAGAUUCUUUUCUAAGAUCUGUAGUGGAUGUGGAUUCAGCUACUGCAGUUUUUGAUCCAUACUUGGUGUUCUUCUUUCGAGUAUCCUACCAGUCAGGAUAUCCAAUGAUUUCAAAACAUUGUUCUUUCGUAUGACCCUUCUUUCUACAAUGAGUGCAAUGGAGUGAUGACUUGUCAACAAACUUCCUUUGAGGCUGCUGUCGUGCUAUCAUAGCAAACGUUUCUGAGUCGACCUUCUUGUUUAGUUUGCUUUGCCGCACAUCUUCUCUUCAGAUCAGAGAAUAACAUUAUUCUAAGUCUGGGAUAAUUUCUUUUCGUAGAAUUUCUCCACGAACUUGGUCAAAUUCUUCAUCUAGCCUAGCAAGAAAAAUGUGCACUCUCAAUCUUUCAACAGACCUUCUGUAUAUUACAACAUCUUCUGAAUCCUUCACGACCACUUUAUCUCAGUGAUCAAGUUCUCGAAAUAUUUUGAUCAAUUCUCCAUAGAAUUUAGAGAGUGGUUGUCCAUUUUGCUUGGUAGAGAAUGCCUUCUGGUUUAGAGUGAAAACUUGUAAUUCAUCGCUUUCAUCAUAGAAGGCUUUUGAUAAUGCAUCCCAAAUUUCGUAGGUUGUAGGAAUUCGUAAAUAUCGCUUCAUGAUCUCCGGAGACAUGGAUAUGAGUAACCAUCUUUUUGCUUUUUGGUUCUCACUAUACCAUUUCUCAUAUUCCUUUGAAGAUUCCUCAUAUGGCUUUGUACUACUACGAAUAUAUGAGAGUUUUUCUCUUUCUGCAAGAUGCAUCUCCAUUAUUUGAGACCAAACAUCGUAGUUUGUCUCAGUGAGGAUAAUUUUAGCAUUAAAUACUCUAUCAGAUUGAACAGAUUGAAUGACAACAGGACUAGAUUCAGUUGGAGUUUUCUCCAUUUUUUUUUGUUUUUUUUUCGUCUAGAUUGAAAGAAGAAAAAAAAAAUAACCUUUUUAGAUAACAAAACGACAAGUCGUUUAGCCACUGCUUGAAAAACCGACAUGUCAGUUAUGGUGGAAUAUAAACGACAUGUCGUUUUAAUCCUGCUGCACUUCUGGAGACUAAACGUCACGUCGUUUUAUCUCUAAUUUAAAAACGACAUGUCGGUUUUAAUAUAAUAAAAACGACACGUCGUUUUUACUGCUGCACACCGGAGAUAAAAAAUGACAUGUCGGUUUACGUCUUCUUCAACCUCUGGAGCGCGUGAGAGCGCGUGAAUGAUGACAGAGGUGCGUGGUUGACUGGCCGUGGCUUCGGGUGGCGCGUGUGAGCGCGUGGAAAUGUGUUUAAAUGCGAAAUUUUUACAGUUUCCUCACUGGAAACUGAGAAAUGUGAUGGUAUUCUUGGUUUUUUUAGGAACACACUCUUGGAAAAUUGAUGGGAUUGUUGAUAAAUUUGUUAACUCAAGUUUUUUACGUAUGAGUGGCUUGUUUCUUGAUCGGCAUGGAUAUCUGUAAUGGUAGGAAUGGGUUUAAGAAAGAAAAUGGUGGGAAAAAUGGUUGUGGGAGGAAUUUGGUUUCCUCUGUUUUUGUUACAAACAGAGCAGCGGAACGUGAAGAAACUUGAGAGUAUUCAUGGCUCUGAUACCAUGAAGAAACGUGUUUUCAUUUCUUAAAUAAAACAUUAUACACUAAGAGUUAUUUAUAUAUGCAGAGACUACAUUUUUUCAAAGAUUACAUAUGUGAAUACGAAAGAAAAUGUGUCAAUCCGUUCGGCGCGGAUCUUGUCUUUGACAAGUGCAGAUUAUCCUUUUGAUAAGUGCGGAUUAUCCUUUUGAUAAGUGCGGAUUCUGUCUUUGAAAGCUUCAUUCAAUGCCGUUUUAUUUGAUUCUCAACACUUGGUAUUGGACUUUGAAUUGACACAAAGCCGGUUGACUCGGAGAAAUGAUUACUUUGAACAUUUUUCGCAUGCAUCAUUUGCUCAUAACUUUGUUGUUCAUCCACAUGAAAUCAAAUACUCAUUUGGUAUGAUAAAAAUCAAUGGGCAAUCAUUUUUAUGUUAGCUUAAAAACUAGGUUAUCUUUGCAUAACUAUAGUUUUAGAGUUUCUGUUUAUGUACUUUAUGCUUUCAACUUCUGAUGAUGAAUCGAGUGUUGAGCCCAGAGCAAGCUUUCCUGUUGAAGGAUAUUAAUUUGCAACUAAUUCAUCGGUUACACAUACAGUUAGAAAAAUGUGUACCCGAAUGCCAUGUUAUUGCAUUUACUAAUGUAUAGUUCAUAAGCAUGUCUCUCACUGUAUACACGAUUAAGGGUGGGUCUGCCUACUACUUUAUAACAAUUUGGGAUGUUCAAAAUUCAAUUCUAUCUGCUCAAUCCGUCUGAUCCGUAGAAAUCCAAUCUGUAAAAAUUUGAUUCGCAGAUUGGUGGAUUGGAUUGAAAAUUUGAUAAUCUGCAAUCGGUGGAUUGGAUAUGGAUCUACUUCUAUAAAUCCGCAAACAAAUAAUAAGUAGUUAUUUAAUUAAAAAAUAAAACUUAUAAAUAUGACAUUAGUACUUACUAGUAAAUAAAUAAGUUAAAAUAUAGUUACAUUAACACUAUAUUAUAUAUUAUCAAAUAAUAAUAUAACAUAAAAAAUAAUUAAAUAAACAAAUAUAGCUUCCUAAAUAGUUAAUUUCAUAUAUUGAUCUAAACAAAUAAGAUUUUUUUCUUUUUAAUGUGUUAUAUUUUGAAACUUUAAAUGUAUUUUCUAGCUUUAUUUAAAUAAUUAAUUAAUUUAAAUCUUAUUUAAUUUUAAAUUUGAUCGGUAUUAAAAUUAGUUUUAUAUUUAAUUUUUUUAUUUAUUUAGUUCGUGCAUUGGACAGAAUUAAGAAUUUUCAGUCCGUAAACCAACCUACAAAAUGGUGGAUUGGAUAUAGAUCGGGUCAAAUUCGCAUCCGAUCCGUAAACGUAUGAAUUGGAUUUGAAUUUCACCAAUCCAUGGAUUGAAUUAGAUUGAAAAUUUAUAAUCCGCAAAAUCGUGGAUCGAAUAUGAAUUGAUAUCCAAUCCGUAAAAUCCAAUCAGCGAACACCGCUAAUAACAAUUUAUGUUAUACUGACAAUAUUUUCCGUACUGAUCACAAGUUUAAAGUUUUGCUUCUCGAAAUGGCUCCUUUCAUUUGUUUAUUUAUUUAUUAAAAUUGACAUUUUUUAUUUUUUAUUUUUUUGACAAGGAAGGUAAUUGAGGUGUUUAACGAGGGGAUGAUGUUUUCCUUUAAAAGAAUAAAUAAAUAAAAGACAAAUUUUUAUGCUAUGGGGACAAAAUGCCAAUUGAGAAGAAUUCUGUCCCACUAAAAUUGGGUUAAGUAUUUAAUUUGAAUUGGCAUCUAAAACAGUUGUAGGCUAACCAAUAUUUCUACGAAAAAAAAAAGUCAGAAUUAUUGCUAGCUUCUUGUCUUUAAUUUUCUAAACUCUGGGCAGUUGGUGUAGUAGUUUUUGCUGCUCUUCUCUUUGCGGCUAUAGAGGCUAUAGCCGAACGUGAACUAGGAAAGUGGAAACGUUGCACCUUAACAUACGUCGUCAACUACGACUACAAAUCUAUUUCAUGGUCCCAAAAUAUCAAUCAGUGCCAUUGUAAUUAUCAAAACUAAAAAAUUAUGGUUUUAAUAAGUUACAGUUACUAUCCAUGCAAAAAUAUGCAAAACGUAGUAACAUAAUAGUGAGCCACUUAAUUUUUAUAUGGGUUGUAUGUUAUACAAAUUGUAAUUUAGCAAAACUCAAAAAUUAUACGAAAGAAAAAAUUUAUUAAUUUUCUUUUUAACUAAAUGAUUAGAAUACAUUUACUCAUAAUUACCAAAGCAAAAAUUAAGUCAUAAUUAAGGGCUUGUAAAACACUUAAUUUCAAACCACUAAUUUUGGGAGCUACAACAAUAAGAGGAGUUAAGCAACAAUUAAGUGCUUAUAAAUGAUAACUUUUAGUAUUCAAAAACUUACCACAAGCUCAAGCCCAUCUCAUAUGAAUAACGCUGUUGUGCGAUAGGGAUUACAAUUGUGUGACAAAUGACCCUUGAUAAAUUUAGACAACUAGUAGAAAUUAGAAUUUAAAUUCUUUAUUUUUAAGUUUUUCCAAUAUUUCAAUGUUAUUCUCACACAUUUAAUUAAAAUUAAAUAAAUCUUAAGAACAUAUAGAGACAUGUUUUUGUAAUAGGCCUAAAACGAAACUUUAGAAAAUACAUUUUUAUGUUAAUUUCUUUUAGGGUAAGUUUCGCCAUACCCUCUUAUUAAAUUGACACACUUCAAUUCACCCCCGAAAAGUGUGAAAACCUCAAUUACCCCCAAAAAAACUGCUGACUAAUGUUGACUGAUUGAAAUAGGAAAAUACCCCAACUUGUAAUGGGAAAUUUACGAAAAUAAUUAGUAGAUUAUAAAAGAUUACAUGUCUCUUCUUCUUUCUAUUUAAAUUCAACAAUAUUUAACUAUUAAUAAUAAAUUAAUUAUAGUUUUGAAACAUUCAUUUAUUUUAUUAAGCCAACAACUAAACUUUAGUGGUUUAAAAUACAUCAACUAAUUAAUAUAGGAAGGAAUGUUCUUUCAUCUUCCCUCACCAAUACCACUAGAACCUAAUUUUAAUGUCAUAAUUUCAUAUUUAAUUAUGCAACCUUUUAUUUAGUGUCUUUUGACUUCUUCAAACUAUAUAAAUAUUAAGUAUUUAAGAUUUAUUAUGUUUGAGUUUUUUUUAUUAUUUAACCAAUAUUCUCUUUAGAAAUGUUCUUGUGUUUUUAUUUUUUGACUUAUUUAAAUUUUUUGUAUUGUGUGCUUCAUGGAGUAUUCUUUUCUUCAUGAGUUAAACAAUGAUAAAGAUAUUUGGAUGAUAAGGGUUAGGCUUUGUAAAAUGUGGGAGUCUGUUAAUACCAAGAAGAAUGAAGAGUUGAUUAGUGUAAACAUAAUUUUUAUUGAUGAAAAGGUUGUGUACACUUAACUAUACACAUUAAUAUAUAUUUUUAAAGUUAAAAAAAUAAUUAACUUUCAUAAAUAACAUUAGUUUUAUAAGGCUACGUCAUCUUUAAAAAAAAUCAAUUCAUAUUUUUUAUCAAAUUUAUCAAGUGUAAAGUAAUAAAAAAAUAAUACUAAAUUUUUUUUUUAAAAUCGCACGAAGUGCGGUUCUAUUUCCUAGUAAGAUUAUAAUAGUAAAAGAAUUCAAUAAUUGCACUCUUAAUGUUACCAUUUAAAAAUUAUGAAAUAGGUAAUUUGGGAAACCCAUCUGGAGGGAUUUGCUUAACAUCCUUUAAAAUUUUUUCCCAGCUGGAAGUAAUUGCUGAACAUCCUUUUCAAUUCCCGAGUAUUAUCUAAUCAGCUUAUUUUGUCAUUUUUAGGUGUUUGCAAAGGCUUUUGGCAAGGAUACUGGGUUGGCUUACGUGUAGUGGACUGAUCAUGUUGACUUUGUUCGGUAGCACAUUUUAUUUUACGCGUGUCUAGUUGUAACCAUGUCUCUCACUGUAUACACCAGUGUGAGUGGGUCCACCUACUAUUUUAUGACAAUUUAUGUUAUACUGACAAUAUUAUUCGUGCUGAUCACAAGUUUGAAGUUUUGCUUCUCUCGAAGAACUGGCUCCUUUCAUUUAUUUAUUUAUUAAAAUUUACAUUUUUUUUCCGUUUCCUUGCAAGAAAGGUAAUUAGAUUAAAUUUAACGGGGCGAUGAUGUUUUCCAUUAAAUAAGUAAAACACAAUUUUAUGCCAGAGUAGAAAUGGCCAAUCAAAACAAGGGUUAUCCAUGUUCGUGCCAUGCCGUCGUGUGCUUAAUUUUUUUUUCUCGUACCUUGCCCAUAUGUGUUGUGUUGUGUCUAAAAAAAAGUUCAAUAAUUUUUUUUAGUUUUUUAAAAGCACGUACUAAGUAAUUGGUAUAUUUUUUUUAAGUUUAUGUUUUUUUUAGGUCUAUACCUUUAUUCAAAUUUAAUAGAAUUGAAAAUUUAAAACUCAAGUCUAUAUUUUAUAAUAAUAAACUAAUAAUAGUAAGAUAAUGUAAUAUUAAUUUUUAAGUUUGACAUUUUAACAUUAUUUUUUUUUAUACUUAACAACAACAACAAUAAUAAAUUUUUCUUAAGGGUUAACUUAAUUGUUAACUUAGACUUACAUAGAGUCAUAGAUCAUAAUUCACAAUAAUAUUAAUGGAUAUUUAUAAAAUCAUAAUAAUUAUAAUUUUAUUUAUUAAAAUCAUGAUAUCAAUUAUAUAUUUAAUAAAUUAUAAAUAUAAAUCAAUUAUAGUACUUUUUAAACUAAGAAUUAAAUGAAUUUAAAAAAUUCAUUUUCAAGUUAUUUGUAAAACUAUAAAAUUUUAAGUUUACUUUCAUUAAAAAAUAAAAUGUGCUUAUUGUGAACUUUUUUAUCGUGCUAUACUUAGUCCAUUUCUAAUCAUGUAGUGCUUUUAAUGCUCGUGUGCUUAAAAUUUUAAGUCUGGCCCAGUCCACGUGCGUACUGUGCCAUACCACAUACCCUACCAAAACGUGCUGGUAUUGUGCCGUACUGUACGAAUACAUGUCGUGCCAUGUGUCAUCUAGUCCAUUGGCCAUCUCUACGCCAGAGUGACAAUAUGCCACAUUGAGAAGAAUUGCGUGCCCCUAAAGCUGGAUUAAUAAUUUAAUUUGAAUUAAAUCUAUAACAGUUGUAGGCUAACCAAUAUUUCCACAGAAAAAAAGCAGUUCAAAAUUAUUGGUCACAUCUUGUCAUAAAUUUUUUAACUCUGCGCAGUUGGUGUAAUAGUUUCGGCUGCUAUUCUCUUCACUACUAGAGCCUAGAGAUGGAGUGAAGCAUAAUGGGAAUUAGGAAAAGAGAGCUGCUUCCUUACAAUUAGGCAGGCGCUAAGUUAUGGUUAACGUAACUUAGCGCCCACACACAGCAACAGUACCGCUGGUGGGGCCUGGUACUGUUGCUACGUAAGUUACAUUAAACGUAACUUAGGCCCUCCCUUACAAUUAACGUAAUGUUCUAGGUUAACAUAUCUAAUCAACUACGACUACAAUUCUAUUUCAUGGUCCCAACACAUCAUAUCAAUCAAUGUCAUUAUCGUUAUCAAAGCUAAAAAAUCACAGGAAAGAAAAAAGUUUUUGUUUUAGCUGAAUGAUUAGAUAUUGCAUUUACUCGUAAUUAGGGGUGUUCAGAAUCCAAUUCAAUCUACUCAAUCCAUUUGAUCCGUAGAAAUUCGAUAUGUAAAAAUUCGAUAUGCGGAUUGGUGGAUUGGAUUGAAAAUUUAAUAAUCCACAAUCAGUGGAUUAGAUAUGAAUCUACUUAUGUAAUUCUGUAAAAAUCUGUAAAUCCGCAAAAAAAUAAAAAAUUUUAUUUAAUUAAAAAAUAAAACUUGUAAAUAUGACAUUAGUACUUACUAGUAAAUAAAUACAUUAAAAUAUAGUUACAUUAACACUAUAUUAUAUCUUAUCUGAUAAUAAUAUAAAAUAAACAAAUUAAAUAAACAAAUAUAGCUUCCUAAAUAGUUAAUUUCCAUAUAUUGAUCUAAACAAAUGAGAUUUUAUUUUCUUUUUGAUGUGUUAUAGUUUGAAACUUUCUAGUUUUAUUUAAACAAUUAAUUUAUUUAAAUCUUAUUUAAUUUUAAAUUUGAUCGGUAGUAAAAUUAUUUUUAUAUUAAAUUUUUUUAUUUAGUUAGUUCGUGUAUUAGACAGAAUUAAAAAUUUUCAGUCUGUAAACUAAUUAGCAAAAUGGUGGAUUGGAUAUGAAUUGAGUCAAAUUCAUAUCUGAUCCGUAGACGUAUGUAUUGGAUUUAAAUUGAAUUUUAUCAAUCCGUGAAUUAGAUUAAAUUGAAAAUUUAUAAUCUAAAAAAUCGUAGAUCGGAUAUAGAUUGAUGUCCAAUCUAUACAAUUCGAUCCGCGAACACCCCUACUCGUAAUUAAGAAAGCAGAAAUUAAGCAAUAAUUAAGGGUUUAUAAAACAUUUAAUUUCAUACCACUAAAUAUGAGAGUUAUAACAGCGAGAGAAGUUAGGUAAUAAUUAAGCGCUUAUAACUGACAACUUUUACUCUAGGUAAAAGACUUAUGUGUUCUAUAACUAACCACAAACUCAUCACAUAUGAAUAACACUACGUGUUUACUGUGCCGUACCGCAUAUCUUACCAAAACGUACUCAUAUGGUGUCGUACUAUACCGAUACAUGCCGUGGCAUGUGUCAUCCACUCCAUUGGCCAUCUCUGCCCCAAAGUGACAAUAUGCCGCACAAGAAUUGCGUGCCCCUAAAGCUGGAUUAAUAAUUUAAUUUGAAUUGACGUCUAUAACAGUUGUAGGCUUAACCAAUAUUUCUACAGAAAAAAUUGGUUCAGAAUUACUGGUCGCGUCUUGUCAUAAAUUUUUUAACUCUGCGCAGGCGGUGUAAUAGUUUCGGCUGCUAUUCCUUUACCGCUAGAGCCUAGAGAUGGAGUGAAGCAGAAUGGGAAUUAGGAAAAUGGUAAUGUUCUACGUUAACAUACCUAGUCAACUACGACUACAAUUCUAUUUCAUGGUCCCAACACAUCAUAUCAAUCAAUGAACAUCAUAUCAAUCAAUGCUAUUAUGGUUAUCAAAGCUAAAAAUUCACGGGAAAGAAAAAAAAAAAUUUUUUUUUUAGCUGGAUGAUUAGAUUACAUUUUCUCGUAAUUAAGAAAGCAUAAAUUAAGUAAUAAUUAAGGGUUUAUUAAACACUUAAUUUCAUACCACUAAAUAUGAGAGUUAUAACAGUGAGAGAAGUUAGGUAAUAAUUAAGAGCUUAUAACUGAAAACUUUUACUAUAGGUAAAAGACUUAUGUGUUCUAUAAGACUAUAACUAACCACAAACUCAUCACAUAUGAAUAACACUAUUGUGCAAUAGACAUUACAAUUGUGUGACAAAUGACCAUGAAUAACACUAUUAUGCGAUAGGGAUUAUAAUUGCGUGAUAAAUGAUUCUUGAUAAAUUUAAACAACUAAUAGAUAUUAAAAUUUAAAAUUUUUAUUUUUAAGUUUUUCCAAUAUCUCAAUGUUAUUCUCACACAUUUAAUUAAAACUAAAUAAAUUUUAAGAACGUAGAAGAACAUAUCUCACUUACGAGUUUAGAUAGGCCUAAAACCAAACUUUAGAAAACACAUUUUUAUGUUAAUUUCUUUCAUAAAUUUUGCGUUUGACAAGAUAAAAAUAUAUAACAGAUAACCAAACCAAAACUUUUCACGAAAUAAAUAAUUAAUUAGUUAAUCCAAAAGUACUUUGGUUAAUGUGUAGAAUGGGUUGAAUAAAGUAAUUUUAUUUUUGAACAAAAUUUAGUCCAUUCUAAUUUCACUCCUCAAUGGAAGUUCUUUCCACCUUUCGGCUAAUGGACUCUCGCAAUUUAGCGUUAUUAUUAUUAUUACUAUUAUUAUUGGUUAUAAUUUUAAAAUUUAUUGGGAAUUUUGCGGAAGAGUAUGGCGAUUUGAACCCAAAAUUUUGCUUUCUACACCCAUUUUCUCAACACACCCACAACAUAAAUUUGAAAAAUAAAAUUAUACUCUAUGAAUCCUUCAAAAAUCCAAAAAUAACCCUAUAUUAUCUUCACUUUUUUCUUCCCUCCCCCUUCUUAUACAGUAUUGAAUGGUGACAGCAACUUUGAUUCACCUUGCUAAUAUUAAAAACUAUCCUAAUUGACAAAUCCAUGAAGAAAUAAACUUUGAUGACGUGCACCAAUAAAUUGAAAAUUUUGAGCCAACAACAAAAUACUGAAUAUAUUACGGAUGGGUUUACAUUGAAAUUGUCCAUUUCUUUUUCAUCCAUUGCCUUUCACGAAAAUCUUUAUAAUUUCAUAUUAUAACUGCAAGAUGCAAAAAAUUCUUCAUGUUUUUUCAUCUAUCGCCAUAAUUGCCAUAGAGUUCAUUAGCUUAAUUAACUAUUAGUUAUACAUAUCAAGGAGUCUAUUUUUCCUUUAAGUCUUGAAUCAUCAAAUUCAAAUAUUUCUAUUGUUCGAUUUUUCUAUCUGAUUGUGUAUUUUCAUGAGAUGCAGAAAAUUAUUUUUAGCUUAUGCAGAAUUUUCAUUUUCUCAGCAACUAAGUUUUUUUUUUUUUUUUUGGUCUGUCCUUAAUGGUAAUUGUCAUAAAGGGUAAUUUGACAAUAAAAGUUUUUGUGAAAUUAUGGGUGUAAAGAGUUGUUUUGUGGGUUUAAAUAGUCCCACCCUUUGCGGAAUUAUAUAUUAAACAUCUAAAUUAAUAGUAUGUAUGAAAUAAAUGGCAUCCAACACAAAUAUAAAUACAUUUGCAGUUGUGACUGUUGAGCCAACUUGAUUUGCAAUGCUUUUAGGGAUAUUGUGCCCUGAAAAUUAAUCAAAACUACUUGUGAAAAGGCGAUUUGAACUCAAAAUUUUGCUUUCUACACCCAUUUUCUCAACACACCCACAACAUAAAUUUGAAAAAUAAAAUUAUACUCUAUGAAUCCUUCAAAAAUCCAAAAAUAACCCUAUAUUAUCUUCGUUCACUUUUUUCUUCCCUCUCCCUUCUUAUACAGUAUUGAAUGGUGACAACAACUUUGAUUCACCUUGCUAAUAUUAAAAACUAUCCUAAUUGACAAAUCCAUGAAGAAAUAAACUUUGAUGAUGUGCACCAAUAAAUUGAAAAUUUUGAGCCAACAACAAACUACUGAAUAUAUUACGGAUGGGUUUACAUUGAAAUUGUCCAUUUCUUUUUCAUCCAUUGCCUUUCACGAAAAUCUUUAUAAUUUCAUAUUAUAACUGCAAGAUGCAAAAAAUUCUUCAUGUUUUUUCAUCUAUCGCCAUAAUUGCCAUAGAGUUCAUUAGCUUAAUUAACUAUUAGUUAUACAUAUCAAGGAGUCUAUUUUUCCUUUAAGUCUUGAAUCAUCAAAUUCAAAUAUUUCUAUUGUUCGAUUUUUCUAUCUGAUUGUGUAUUUUCAUGAGAUGCAGAAAAUUAUUUUUAGCUUAUGCAGAAUUUUCAUUUUCUCAGUAACUAAGUUUUUUUUUUUUUUUGGUCUGUCCUUAAUGGUAAUUGUCAUAAAGGGUAAUUUGACAAUACAAGUUAUUGUGAAAUUAUAGGUGUAAAGAGUUGUUUUGUGGGUUUAAAUAGUCCCACCCUUUGCGGAAUUAUUUAUUAAACAUCUAAAUUAAUAGUAUGUAUGAAAUAAAUGGCAUCCCACACAAAUAUAAAUAAUAAUUUUACUUGAAUUAAACACCCAAAUCCUAUAUUAUAAUAUUAUGCGUAAGAAAAUUUACACAUACUAUCAUUUUAUUAAAAUUUGGACUAGCUGAAGAAUAUUAUUCAUUCAGAUUUAUCAACCAUAAGUCACUUUGUUAAACCAUGAUUAUUGUAGAAUGAAAAAUCAUUCUUGUCAAGUAUAAAUGGACGAACUGUUUAUUGUCAACCUUUAUAUAGUUGUAUAAAUAAUUAAUCUUUGUAUAACUUAAAAUUAUUGUUUAUUCUAUCAGUCUUAAUGAAUUGGAAGUAGAUGAUUUUAAUUUGCAAAUGGUUUGGCUUCCAUCUUUGUAACUAUUUUAUUAUUUAAAAAAAAAAAGCUCACUAAACAAAUAAAGUUGACCAAAGUAUUCUCUAAAUGCCGACUGCUUUAGUUAACAAAGCUCAAAAACUUUUAAGAAGAAUUGGGCCUGAAGUAAAUCCUUGAUUAUAGGCAAACUGUUAACCUUCAAAAACCAUUUAAAUUGCCUUUCUUAACCCAAAAGUAUCCUAAUCCAAUGUUUGCCAAAUGAUCUCGAACCAAGUCAAAUUAUCCAACUCAUAACUAAAUAGAGGAGAGAAUAUUUUAACGAGGUCAAAUAGUUUCACUUUAUUAAUAAUUUAGUAGAAACCUAAUGAAAGUGAGGGUAUUGGAGUCUCUGCUUUCUUUGUAUUUGAGAGUAUUUUUAUUUAUUUAUUUAUUGUUUUAGAUUUCUGUGCUGUAUUUAUCUUUUUUUUUUCAAAAAAAAAAAUCCUCUAAAACAUUUUACAAAUUCCAUGCGAAUUAUGGAAGAACUUCGGCAUUCUUUAUUUUCUAUAUAUGCGGAUACAAGUAACAUGGAGAGAGGUUCACAAGAAACCUCUUUGAUUAUUAUUAUUAUUAUUACUUAGCUCCGAACUUUGCAUGAAGAGCCUUCACUACAUAUGGAUAUGGAUCAAGUUGGAAUGCCCUGGCAAGAGAAAAAAGGAUCAGUUAGUGGAUCGGAUCUAAAGACUGCAUUGGAAUAAUUUUCAAAGUAAAUGAUGUAUUAUUAUAAAGACAUGUCUAAUUAAUUAUGCUUUAUAGAAGAGCUAGCUUUCCACCUAAGGACACAUCCAUUAAUGGUGGCACUUCAUUUGGAAUGGUGAUGGUUUAAUUUGAACUGUUGAUUAAGAUCAAAUCUUGAUCCAAUGGCCAUAAAUAAAAUGUUAUCAUGAAAGGUGACUACCUAAAUGGAAGGGCACAAGUACAUCUAUAAAUAUAGGCCAUGUUUAGGUCAUUUAAACAUGAAAUUAAUGAUCAUAUACCAAUCUUUUCUUAGCCCUCUUUCCUAAAACGAAUUUUAUCAUAUAACAUCUAUUUUUACGCAUCAAAUGUUUAAUAUAUUGUUUACUGCAGGAACAUUAUAUUGAUUCUUGAUAGUCUUGCAACAUUCAAAAGUUUUCAGAUUUGCUUUUGUCAAUGCACAAUGCAAACAAACAAAUAACGCUUCAUUAUAUCCUAGACGCGUGUUUGCUUAAUCCAUGUAUAUCACUCACUCAAUUGGUGGGGCAAAUAACAUCUUAAGAAAAACAACAUUUAUAAUGUGCAUUGAAGUACACAUUUUUUUUUCUGCAAUUUUACAUGUUACUAUUAUUUUCUUUGCACCUAUAAAGUUGUACACACAUUACUUUAUUAUAAUAAAAUCUACCAUUAUUACUGCAAUUCUCUACAUUUGCCAUUUCGCACAAAUAUAUACUGCAACAAUCUUAAGACGCCAUUUGUUCAGCAAUGGCACCAAGUUUAUCUCUUCGACAAUUUGCAAUUCAUUUUGUCAAAUAAGAGCGAUUCGACGGUGGCAACUUUGCACAUCAGUAGAAAAAUUUGCAUUUCUUGUUGACAAGCCUUAAUGUGGUUUAUGUUCUCACAAUACCAUAGCCUCAAGAAUGUGAGGAUGAGAUAUUAGCAGAAGCUAGAGCACAAUAGAAGUAGGAGCAAGAUGACUACAUUUGCAAGGGAGAAAUUUGCAACGCCAUAUCUGAUAUUGUAUCACAACAAACCCACAAUAAAAGAAAUAUGCGACUUAUUGGAGAUUAAGUACAUGAUGGAAGAUGCCACAAGUAUGAAAUCCUUGGCUUCUAAAUUUUUUAAUUAUAAAAUGGUUGAUAAUGGACUUGUGGUUGAAUAAUAUAUUGAGAUUUUGCAUAUUCUUUAUCAAUUCAACCAAGACAACAUGAAGAUGGACGAGCCUUUUAUUGUUUCUUCAAUUAUUGAUAAACUCCCUCCCUAUUAGUAAGACAUAGGAAAAGUCUUAAACAUAACAAAGAGAAAAUUAGCCUGAAAGGUUUAAGCUAAAGUUUUUGUAUUGAAAAUGAACUCAAACUAUAUAAUCUUGAGGAAUAAGCUGCUACGUCCUCUAAAAUUAAUGUUGUGGAGGAGGGGAAGAAGCUUAAGCAUUCUAAUUACCCUAAGAAUAACCAAAAGAGAAAGUUUGAUUCGAAAGAGAAUCAAAAUAAUAAGAAGAAAAAAAAAGGUACAUGUCACUACUGUAAAAAGCUUGGCCACUUCAAAAAAUAUUAUCAACUUCUUAAGAAACAAAAAGAAGUUUCGAACACAAUUUUGCGGCCAUGAUAUUGAGAUUCAUGUUCUUGAAGAUGAUAAUGCAUGGUGGAUAGAUUCUAAUGCAACCAAGCAUGUGUGCAAAGAUCAUAGCCUUUUCACAUCUUACAAAGUAAUGGAUGAUAGGAAUGUUCUUUACGUGGGAAAUUCCUUCAUGCAGCAAUUAAAAGAAAAGGCAACGUACAACUAGAGUAUAUUUAUGGAAAAAUCUUAACUCUUACUGAUGUUUAUCAUAUACCUAAAGUUAAGAAGAAUCUUGCAUUUGGUUGCCUCAAUAAAUUUGGCUUCAAACCUGUAUUUGAGUAAAAAAUAAUUUAUAUUGUCUAAGGAUGCAUGUAUGAGGGAAAGUUUAAACUCAUUAAUAAAAUGAAUGUUUCUUCUACUUACAUGAUUGACUCAUUAUUUUUGUGGCAUAAUUGUUUAGGACAUGGGAAUAUUAGAAGAUUGCAUGAUAUAGCUAAUUUAGAAUUAAUUCCUAAACAUGAAAAUGAUAUGCAUGAAAAAUGUAAAGUGUGUGCGUAGACUAAAAUCACAAGAACUCCUUUUCCAACAAUUGAAAAAAUAUAUUCUUUGAUGCAUUUAAUUCAUAGUGAUAUAUGUGACAUGCAUAGUAAUCCUACUAAAGGUGAUAAAAAAUAUUUUGUAAUGUUUAUUGAUGAUUUUUCAAAAAUAUUGCUAUGUAUAUUUAUUACCUUCUAAAGAUCAAGUGUUAGCCAAAUCCAAAAUUUAUAAAAAUCAAGUUGAGAAUUUUUAUGACAUUAAAAUUAAAUGCAUCAGAAGUGAUAAAGGAAAUGAAUAUGCAUUUUCUGAAUUUUGUGAAUCUAUUGGCAUUGUGCAUGAAACUAGUAUUGGAUAUACACGACAACAAAAUGACAUAUCUAAAAGGAAGAAUAGGACGCUAAUAGAAAUGGUUAAUGUUAUGAUUUUUAAUGUUGGGCUUGGUAAAGAUUUUUGCGAUGAAGCUCUUUUAACUAAAUGUCAUAUCUUGAAUGGUGUGCCUAAUAAGAAAACAAAAGCGAUCCCUUAUGAAUUAUGAAAAAAUAGAAAGCCUAAUCUUUCACUACUACAAAAUUAGUCAAUAAUGACGGUUCUAAACGACAUAAAAUGACGGUUUUAAAACCGUCAUCUUAGGCAGCGACAUUAAAAGGAGUAUACUUUUUAUGACAGUUCAAUAACCGUCAUUAAAUGUAUAUUUUUAAUGACGGUUAUUUUCUAAAACAGUCAUUAUUUAUAGUAACUAUGUAUGUUUUCAUGAUGGUUAUUUCGUAUAACCGUCAUUAAAUAUAUACAUUUAAUGACGGUUAUAUGAAAUAACCAUUAUUAAAUAUACUUUUUCAUUAAUUUUUUAUGACGGUUCUUUUAAAAAAAAAACCAUCAUUAAAUCCAUCAUUUUAAUGACAGUUUAUUGUAAAAACAUCAUUAAAUAUUAAAAUAACAUUUAAUGACGGUUUAAAAAAAGAACUGUCAUCUUUGUUGUUAAAGACUACAUUUAACGACGGUUCUUUUCAAAUAACCGUUAUCAUUGUUGUUAAUUAUUAAAAAAAAAAUAUGACAAUUUCAGAACCAUUUGAAGCCCAUAUUUUAAUUCUAAUUUCCUGUUAAAUUAUUUACAAUUUUUUUCCACAAAUGUUUCAUAUACAAAAAGAUAGCUCUACAAAAAUCUCUAAUAGUCAUUGAAUUUCAACAAAAUAUCAAUUAGCUUUAACAUCAAAAUUCUCACAACUCUUUAAUACCUACUAAUGAAUCUACUCACAACCAACAAAAUUGGCAUGUGUGAGUACAUCUAAUUUCUCAUCAAGUUUUCAAUUGCAAACGAAUCUCACCACCUUUAGCAAUCUACAUCAUUCUUACAAAGAAUAAAUCAAAAUUAAGAUAAAUUCAUAGAUUAUAAGUCAUAAUAAUUAAAUCAUUUUUAGUGACUUAAGUUGCAAACAAAACUUUAAAGUACCAAAUCAUUAUUAAUUAAUAGACUUACAUUAAAUUUAUCAACCAUGUGUUUAUGUAGUAACAAGUUGCUAUGUAUACAUGUAGGCCACUCGCAUUUAACUUUAUCAAUUUCUCCUUGAGUGUAAAUUUCAAUUCUGUACAAAUAAAAAUUAAGAAGUAUAUUACUCUAGUUCCAAACUACAAAAAUAAGUAUUUGAUAAUAAACGACAAUACAUUUUCCAAAAUAGAGAAAAUCACAAAGCUUUUAAGCUUCUAAAUCACAAAUUAUAGGUAAAGCAAUUUAGAAUUGAAAUAUACUAUAGCAAUGAUGACUUACAUCCGCUAUUUGCAUAGACUAUCACUCAAAUCUAGUGAUUCGAUAUUCUCAAUUGAUGAAAAUAUGAACAUGUCUAAAACAAAUCUUGCAUGCUAACACAAUAAUAAAUAUUGAAAAAAGAAUUUGUACCUUUGCCCCUGGUCAAUUUGAGGUACCAAGCUCGGCCUGUUAAAUUCAUUACAAUUUUUUUCCACAAAUGUUUCAUAUACAAAAAGAGAGCUCUACAAAAAUCUCUAAUAGUCAUUGAACUUCAACAAAAUUUCAAUUAGCUUUAACAUCAAAAUUCGCACAACUCUUUAAUACCUACUAAUUAAUCUACUCACAACCAACAAAAUUGGCAUGUGUGAGUACAUCUAAUUUCUCAUCAAGUUUUCAAUUGCAAACGAAUCUCACCACCUUUAGCAAUCUACAUCAUUCUUACAAAGAAUAAAUAAAAAUUAAGAUAAAUUCAUAGAUUAUAAGUCAUAAUAAUAAAAUCAUUUUUAGUGACUUAAGUUGUAAACAAAACUUUAAAGUACCAAAUCAUUCUUAAUUAAUAGACUUACAUCAAAUUUAUCAACCAUGUGUUUAUGUAGUAACAAGUUGCUAUGUUAUCCAUGUAGGUCGCUCGCAUUUAACUUUAUCAAUCUCUCCUUGAGUGUAAAUUUCAGUUCUGUAAAAAUAAAAAUUAAGAAGCAUAUUACUCUAGUUCCAAACUACAAAAAUAAGUAUUUGAUAAUAAACGACAAUACAUUUUCCAAAAUAGAGACAAUCACAAAGCUUUUAAGCUUCUAAAUCACAAAUUAUAGGUAGAGCAAUUUAGAAUUAAAAUAUACUAUAGCGAUGAUGACUUACAUCCGCUAUUUGCAUAGACUAUCACUCAAAUCUAGUGAUUCGAUAUUCUCAAUUGAUGAAAAUAUGAACAUGUCUAAAACAAAUCUUGCAUGCUAACACAAUAAUAAAUAUUGAAAAAAGAAUUUGUACCUUUGCCCCUGGUCAAUUUGAUAAUGAUCUCAAAAAUUUUGAUGGCCAUGAGAAAAUUAACUAACGACCAACGCUUUAUUAUUGAUGUUGUCGGAGGAUUACCAAAUUGAGAAGGAAAUGCUAAAUUCUUGAAUGGCGUUGAGAACUUAAAAAUCUGAAAUGGAACAUUUAAAAUAGAAAGUAAAUAUAAUUAUCAAUACUCAAAGAUAGUCCACGCUUUAUUGCUUAAAAACUUGAGUGGAAAAACCCAGCAAAAAAGAAAAGCAAAAACAGUGCAAUUUCACUGGUAUUUUUGCUGCUGUCAUGCAGUAAAAACAUAGUAGUCUUACUGCAAAGUUUUUGCAGCUGUUUUGACUGUAUAACAGCGGGCAAAAACAGCAAAAGAAACUACAAUUUGGCUGCUGUUUUUACUGUUGUCAUGCAGUAAAAUAGAGCAGUCUUGCUGCAAAGAUUUUGCAGCUGUUUUGACUGUACAACAACAGCAAAAAGAACUAUAAUUUGGCUGCUGUUUUUACCGCUGUCAUGCGGUAAAGCAGAGCUGCUGUUUUGACUGUAUAACAGCAGGUAAAACAGAAAAAAAAACUGUAAUUUGGCUGCAGUAAAAACAACAGAAAAACUAUAAUUUGGCUGCUGUUUUUACUGUUAUCAUGCAGCGAAAAUACAGCAGUCUCACUGCAAAAAUUUUACUGCUGUUCUUACUGUAUAAAAAUAGCAAUACAUCACCUUAAAUAAGAGAAAAAAAUUCUUUCAGCUACUACACAUUUAAUUUAAUUUAACUUAAAUCCUUCAUAUUGUAGACUGAGAGAUUGAUUCUAUAGAAUAAAGAGAAAUUAAGAUAAUUCAUAUAUUAUAAGCCAGUAUCUUCACCAUGACUGGCAACUUCCACAAGCAAUUGCUCUUUUCCAUGAGGACUCAUCAGAACUGAAUAAGCAAACAACACCAUUAUAAAAGAAUGAAUAUAUGUCUGAUAUGAAAUGAGCAAAACCUAGGUUAUGAGCAGCACAUAAAUGCAAAAAGAAAAAGGGAAUGUCUUUCUCUGUAAAUACAUGUAGAUAGAUGUUUGCAGAUGCAUGCAAGGGAAAAAAGAAUGUCUUUCUACAUUCUCAAGGCUCCAAUUGAAGCACUAACAGGUACAUUUAUGCAAAAAUAUAAGAAGAAAAAUAAUGUAUGAUACCUGUAGUCCCUGAGGAGUAAGCAAAUGUAUUUCGAUACGUGUACAUUUCCUGAAAGAAGAUUGAACUAUAAAUAGACUGCCAAUGGAUCAAAAUGCACUUUCAACACAAAAUCCAAUUAAAUUUGAAGAUGGCGCAAAACAAUUAGUUGAAAAUUGUACUCGUGACACCGGAAUGAAUCGCAUAACAAUUCUUUCACAGAGCUUUCAGCAACCAUAUAGCUCAAAAAUCAGAUAGCAGCAUACACUAAAUGGGAACAAUUUUUUUUAUCAAUUACAUUAGUAUAAGUCCAAUGCAGGGAAAAAAAUGCACUUUCAAAAUGAAUUACAACUUAAUAACAACAACAAUCAACUAAAAUGUAAGCAAGAAUCAUAGACAAACAAUUUAUAAACCAAAUGAGAUGAAAAUUUCUUUAUUAAAUUAAUAGAAGGUCAGUUGACAGGAAAUAAAGAGAACAAACAAUAAUUGGAUGAAUCAAAACCCCAGAGCAAGAAAAUACAAUAAGAAGGAAGCAUCUGAAACAAGAAAAUGAAAUCAACAGCUCACUGUCUCCCGCGGCCGGCGCGAUGGCUACGGUUGAACGAGCUACAAUGACAACUGCUGUCGAUGAGGUAGCUGAAUCACGAUCAUUGCCGCGAACUAGCUAGGACUCUGAAUCACGACCACGAUCUGCCCUACGAGCUAAUAAAAAAAAUUGAAUCGAUUGGCAGCAGUGGAUGGUGCGUGACUGAUGGGCUGACGAUAGUGAAAUUGACAGAGUGAGACGAUGAGACUGGAGAGGGAGAUGGUGAGACCGUGAGAAAGAGAGAGAGAGACCAACGAUGCAGAGAGUGAAAGUGAGCAUGAAAGAGAGAGAGACCGGAGAUGGAGAGAAUGAGAGUGAGCGUAAGAGACAGAGAGACCGAAGAUGGAGAGGAGAGUGAGCGGGUGAGAGAGGGGGGCGUGGCUGCUGCUGUGCUUGUAGAAUUAGACAGGGGGAUUGCCACUUUCCCCCUACAUAAAUUAACAUAUAUUAUUUAUCCUUCUAUUAUUUUUAUAAUGACUAAAAAUUCUUAUGAUAGGAUAAGUUUACAAUAUUAUUUUUAUUUUUAAUUAUUCUUUUAUUUAUAUUUAUUAUAAAUUAAAUAGAUUACAUGAAUAGAAACUAAAUAAAAAAUUAAGUAUUAAAAACAAGAAAUAUAUGUUUUGAUAUGAGCAAAAAAAUUAAUAAUAACUUUUUUUUAUAAUUAUUUAUUUUGUGAACAUUUUCUUAUAAUAAAUAUUCUGCUAUAUUUUAAAAUUAAAUGUAAAAAGUAUAGGUAAAAUAUUUUAUUAUUUAUCUUAUAAUAAAUUUUUAUUUGUCANNNNNNNNNNNNNNNNNNNNNNNNNNNNNNNNNNNNNNNNNNNNNNNNNNNNNNNNNNNNNNNNNNNNNNNNNNNNNNNNNNNNNNNNNNNNNNNNNNNNNNNNNNNNNNNNNNCCGUACAGCAGUUUCCUAUAAUAAUUUUUUUAUCAUUUUAUAAUAAUUUUCUUAUAUAUUUAUUAUAAGAAACUUUUCACAAAAUAAAUAAGUACAAGAAAAAAAUUUUAUUAUUAAUUUUUUUCUCAUAUCAAAACAUAUAUUUCUUUUUUUAAUGCUUAAUUUUUUAUUUAGUUUCUAUUAAUAUGAUUUAUUUAAUUUAUAAUAAAUAUAAAUAAAAGAGUAGUUGAAAAUAAGGGUAAUAUUGUAAACUUAUAUUGUCAUGGAGGUUUUUGGCCAUUAUAAAAACAACAUUGGUGAAAAUGGUAUAUGUUCAUUACUGUAGGGGGGAAAUUGGCAAUCUCCCAAUUAGAAAUUAGGUCACGAUUUUUUUUUAGCCGAUUAAGAUUUUUUUUAUAAAUGUUUUACAUAUAAUGACAGUUACAUCCAAAACCGUCAUUGUUAUUUUUUACUUAAAUGACGGUUCUUUACAACCGUCAUUAAUACUUUAAUAAGACAUAUAAUGGCAGAUUUUUAUAUAUAGUCGUAGUUAAAAAUCAGGUUAUAUUUUAUUUUGAUGUUUAAUGACAGUUAUAUAAUAGAACCGUUAUUAUAAAUAUUAUAUUUUUAAUGACAGUUUUUACACAAAAUCGUCAUUAAAAGUAACUAAAAGUAAAACUAUAUUUUAACUUGACACUUAAUGAUUGUUAUAUAAUUUAACCGUCGUUGUAAAUAUUACACAUUAAUGACUAUUUUUAUACAGAACUGUCAUUAAAAGUAAUUUUACCUAGACAUUUAAUAAUUGUUAUAUAAUAAAAUGGUCAUUGUAAAUAUUAGAUAUUAUGACGAUUCAUAUAAUAACGGUUAUCAAAUACUUUUAAUGACGGUUGUAAAGAAAAACCGUCAUAAUAUAUGAGUCAUUGUUUUGCAUUUUUGUAGUCGUGUUUUUACCCAAGGGUUUGGGGUUAAUUCACUAUAAGAAAACAAGUAAUAGAUGACAGACAGUUUGUGACAGAUUCGUAAAAAAAUUAUUUAUAUUAUAAAAAUAUGAUAGACUCGUGAUAUAAUUUCAGUUCUGGAUUAAUGAUGAUUUUAUGAUAAAAUUAUUGUCUAUCAAGAAUUCAUUUAUACAAAUUUAUUCCAUCAAGAAAUUAUGGUAAUUUCAAUAUAAUUUGUGCUGCUACUUAAUUAUUCAUUUUUUUCCCACUUUGUGUCUGUAUGUGUGUGUGUUCUUGUAGUGUUUGUGAACGGGAAGUUCUGCAAGGACCCCAAGCUUGCGAGAGCUGAAGAUUUCUUCUUCUCAGGGCUAGACAAGCCUGGCAACACAGCAAAUUGACUUGGUGUUGAUGAAACAGAUGCAAAUGUUUAGCAGAUUCCAGGACUCAACACCCUUGGCAUAUCAGCAUUCCGCAUUGACUAUGCGCCAUACGGCCAAAGGCCACCUCACAUUCACCCCCGUGCCAGUGAAAUCCUGCUGGUCCUGGAAGGAACUCUUCAUGUCGGUUUUGUGACAUCAGACCAGCUAAAUAACAAACUCAUCGCACAAGUUCCAAAGACCGUGUCGGCUAUGGUAAUUUCACCGGGGAACUGGCUGUUUAGAGCAGAAUAGGCAACUGCUUUUGUUUUUCCAAUGUUAAAUUGGAAGUAAAUCAAACCUUUUGGAAACACAAAAACAUCUCCCUUAUUCAGAACUUUUGCGAUGAGUUUGUUAUUUAGCUGGUCUGAUGUCACAAAACCGACAUGAAGAGUUCCUUCCAGGACCAGCAGGAUUUCACUGGCAUGGGGGUGAACGUGAGGUGGCCUUUGGCCGUAUGGCGCAUAGUCAAUGCGGAAUGCUGAUAUGCCAAGGGUGUUGAGUCCUGGAAUCUGCUCAACAUUUGCAUCUGUUUCAUCAACACCAAGUCGAUUUGCUGUGUUGCCAGGCUUGUCUAGCCCUGAGAAGAAGAAAUCUUCAGCUCUCGCAAGCUUGGGGUCCUUGCAGAACUUCCCGUUCACAAACACUACAAGAACACACACACAUACAGACACAAAGUGGGAAAAAAAUGAAUAAUUAAGUAGCAGCACAAAUUAUAUUGAAAAUUAUAUGUUUCAUCAGUUCAGCUUAUGUACCACCAUCCUUGGGGUCAUUGAUGGCUACAAAGAUAUCUUGAAGCGGGCUGGGGUCAGAGGCUGAGGCCAAAGAAGAAGCCAAAGCUAAGAGAGCAAAACCUAUAAGAAAUUGAAUUGCCUUCAUGGUGAUUAAUUAACAGGAUGUACCUAUCUCAAAACUUUAAUCAAGUGUUGUGAUUUGAGAAUCUUGGGAGGGAAACUAGACUAUUUAUAGAACGGAGUCCAUGAACGAGUUUGUGUGUUCAAUUAAUAGUCCUCGAAGCAGGUCAAGACUUGCUGAGUCCUCAGUGCUUAUCUUUGUAAUGUUUUGCGGUCCUCAUUUUCGUUUUUCUUUUUAAAAUUUACGUGUAGAACUUGUUCGGUGGUACACAUCUUAAAUAUAAAUAGCAAACAUACGAAACAAAGUCUGGCUGAUAGUGAUAAAAUCCAAAACAGGUUAGACACGUUUGCGCCAAUCUUCAAAACGAACCGUAAAAUAUAAUAAGAAACAAUAUUUUACGCAUUUUCCAAAGCAUAAUUAAAAUAUAAUUUUUUUCAUUGGAAAGAAACGAAUUGAAGAAUUUAUGAAAAUGGGUGAGAAAGAAAUUCAUGUCUCUGGCAAGCAGACUAGCAGUUGGACGUCGUGUUCUGUAGAUAUCGAUGUUACCGGACUUGUUUGGUUUGUUGUUGGGCUUAAUGAAGAAGCAUUAUUAGCCUUUUUUCCUUUUUCAUAGCAAUUUUCGUAGCUGCUUUAACCAUUUUUAGUUCUAUAAAUGCUUUACGAAGUCAAUGAUGCACAUGUUUUUUUCAUUACGUGUUAAAGUCACAGAUCAUCUGCUUCAAAACGUUAAGACUAGGAUCAGGAGGAACCAAAUUCUUCCAUCUUAUUUUCAGCGGUCACGUUAAUUAGAGCCUGGAGUCGGCACGUUUCGUUAGUGAUAUCCUUUUACAAUGUCAAUUGAUAUAUAUCAUUUCAACUUUAAAAGCUAAUUUUAAUAUUGAAUAAUUUUUUUUAAAAAUCCCUUUUAGUAAAAUCAUGUAGAUUUUGAAAAGUAAAAAAAGAGUAGUUUUUUAAAAUUUUAUUUUGAUAAACACUUUUAUACUUAAUACAAUUUCAUAUAUAUCCUUAUAUAUAAGAGAAAAAUCCAAAAUCAUCCUUAUUAAUUAAAAAUAAAAUUAUUAAUUUGAAAGAGAUUAUUAUUAUUAUUACCAACUAUAUUGAGAUAACAAAAUAAAAAUAAAAUUAAUAAUAUAAAACAUUUAUUUUAGUUAUCAAUUAUUAUAUAGACACAACUAAAAAUAUUUUAUUUAUAUGUUUAUAAAUGUGUAAAUAAAUUUUAUUCAACAAAUUUUCUCUUCAAUCAUUUACAUUCUUACAUCAUUUUAAUAGUAAGAUUUACCAAAUAAAUACGACUACUUUUAGAACUCACAACAUUGUAGCAAAUGGCUAACCAAUUGUUGAAAACGACAAACUAAUAAUUUCCAGAAAGCAUGUUCUACAAAGGGUUGUUAAAAUGAUGAUUCUGAAAAAUAACGAUGAAUCGUUUACUGAAAACGGUGAUUCGAUAAUUUUUAGAUUGUAACUGUGAGCCAUUUAACAAGAACGGAUAGCCAAAAUUUGUUUUGCAAGUCUUUGGAAAUAAACAGCUAACCGAUAUUAUUAAUUUUUUUCUCAUAUCAAAACAUAUAUUUCUUUUUUUAAUGCUUAAUUUUUUAUUUAGUUUCUAUUAAUAUGAUUUAUUUAAUUUAUAAUAAAUAUAAAUAAAAGAGUAGUUGAAAAUAAGGGUAAUAUUGUAAACUUAUAUUGUCAUGGAGGUUUUUGGCCAUUAUAAAAACAACAUUGGUGAAAAUGGUAUAUGUUCAUUACUGUAGGGGGGAAAUUGGCAAUCUCCCAAUUAGAAAUUAGGUCACGAUUUUUUUUUAGCCGAUUAAGAUUUUUUUUAUAAAUGUUUUACAUAUAAUGACAGUUACAUCCAAAACCGUCAUUGUUAUUUUUUACUUAAAUGACGGUUCUUUACAACCGUCAUUAAUACUUUAAUAAGACAUAUAAUGGCAGAUUUUUAUAUAUAGUCGUAGUUAAAAAUCAGGUUAUAUUUUAUUUUGAUGUUUAAUGACAGUUAUAUAAUAGAACCGUUAUUAUAAAUAUUAUAUUUUUAAUGACAGUUUUUACACAAAAUCGUCAUUAAAAGUAACUAAAAGUAAAACUAUAUUUUAACUUGACACUUAAUGAUUGUUAUAUAAUUUAACCGUCGUUGUAAAUAUUACACAUUAAUGACUAUUUUUAUACAGAACUGUCAUUAAAAGUAAUUUUACCUAGACAUUUAAUAAUUGUUAUAUAAUAAAAUGGUCAUUGUAAAUAUUAGAUAUUAUGACGAUUCAUAUAAUAACGGUUAUCAAAUACUUUUAAUGACGGUUGUAAAGAAAAACCGUCAUAAUAUAUGAGUCAUUGUUUUGCAUUUUUGUAGUCGUGUUUUUACCCAAGGGUUUGGGGUUAAUUCACUAUAAGAAAACAAGUAAUAGAUGACAGACAGUUUGUGACAGAUUCGUAAAAAAAUUAUUUAUAUUAUAAAAAUAUGAUAGACUCGUGAUAUAAUUUCAGUUCUGGAUUAAUGAUGAUUUUAUGAUAAAAUUAUUGUCUAUCAAGAAUUCAUUUAUACAAAUUUAUUCCAUCAAGAAAUUAUGGUAAUUUCAAUAUAAUUUGUGCUGCUACUUAAUUAUUCAUUUUUUUCCCACUUUGUGUCUGUAUGUGUGUGUGUUCUUGUAGUGUUUGUGAACGGGAAGUUCUGCAAGGACCCCAAGCUUGCGAGAGCUGAAGAUUUCUUCUUCUCAGGGCUAGACAAGCCUGGCAACACAGCAAAUUGACUUGGUGUUGAUGAAACAGAUGCAAAUGUUUAGCAGAUUCCAGGACUCAACACCCUUGGCAUAUCAGCAUUCCGCAUUGACUAUGCGCCAUACGGCCAAAGGCCACCUCACAUUCACCCCCGUGCCAGUGAAAUCCUGCUGGUCCUGGAAGGAACUCUUCAUGUCGGUUUUGUGACAUCAGACCAGCUAAAUAACAAACUCAUCGCAAAAGUUCUGAAUAAGGGAGAUGUUUUUGUGUUUCCAAAAGGUUUGAUUUACUUCCAAUUUAACAUUGGAAAAACAAAAGCAGUUGCCUAUUCUGCUCUAAACAGCCAGUUCCCCGGUGAAAUUACCAUAGCCGACACGGUCUUUGGAACUUGUGCGAUGAGUUUGUUAUUUAGCUGGUCUGAUGUCACAAAACCGACAUGAAGAGUUCCUUCCAGGACCAGCAGGAUUUCACUGGCAUGGGGGUGAACGUGAGGUGGCCUUUGGCCGUAUGGCGCAUAGUCAAUGCGGAAUGCUGAUAUGCCAAGGGUGUUGAGUCCUGGAAUCUGCUAAACAUUUGCAUCUGUUUCAUCAACACCAAGUCAAUUUGCUGUGUUGCCAGGCUU